GGCAGGAACAGCAACAAUAACAACAACAACAGUAUUUUAUUUUAUCUUUUUUAAUUAGAACUAUUGGUGUUUACUAACAGCAGAAUUGUAUAAAGGUGUUCUUGAAUACCUAUGUCAAGAAGCAUAGAUAUAGACGUAUAUGUAUGCAUGUGUGUGUGUAUGCGUGUGUGUGUGUGUGUGUGUGUGUGUGUGUGUGUGUGUGUGUGUGUGUGUGUGUGUGUGUGUGUGUGUGUGUGUGUGUGUGUGUGUGUGUGUGUGUGUGUGUGUGUGUGUGCAUGUGCAUGUGUGUGCAUGUGUGUUUCUUUUACCUCUGCUUCAGCUAAGCAUACAAGUGUUAAAACUCUCCCACCCUCUAACAGGUGAUGUAGUCAUUAAGUAAAUACUCGAAACGAGAAUGGUGAUGAUUAUGAUAAAGCUACACCCUUUUCUACGUUUACUGUUAUUACAUAUGUGUGAGUGUGUGUGUGUACGUGCAUGUGUAUAUAUAUGUGUGUGUGUGUAUAUCUGUGUGUGUACAUGUAUGUGUGUAUGUACGUGUGUAUAUAUAUCUGUAUCUAUGUAUAUAAGCGUGUGUUUAUGUAUAUAUAUAUGUGCAUGUGUGUGUAGAUAUGUGUAUAUUUAUGGGCAUGUAUGUAUAUAUACAUGCAUAAGUGUGUAUAUAUAUGUAUGUGUAUGUGUGUGUAAGUAUGUGUGUAUGGGUAUAUGUGCAUGUGUACAUAUGUGUGUGUGUAUAUCUAUGUGUGUGUACAUGUAUAUAUGUGUGUGUAUACGUGUGUACAUAUAUCUGCAUCUAUGUAUAUAUAUAUAUAUGCAUGUGUGUGUGUGUAGAUAUGUGUAUAUUUAUGUGCAUGUAUGUAUAUAUACAUGUGUGUGUAUAUAUAUGUAUGUGUAUGUGUGUGUGUAAGUAUAUAUGUGUGUGUAUAUGUGCAUGUGUAUAUAUCUAUAUGUGUAUGUACAUGUAUAUGUAAGUAUAUGUGUAUGUGAAUAUAUGUAUGUGUGUAUGCAUGUGUAUAUAUGUGUAUGUAUGUGUGUGUGUAUAUAUAUAUAUAUAUAUUUAUAUAUAUGUGUGUAUGCAUGUGUGCAUGUGUGUGUAUGAAUGUGUGCAUGUAUGUGUAUAAAUGUGUAUGUGUAUAUAUGUAUGUGUAUGUGUGUGUGUAAGUAUAGAUGUGUGUAUAUGUGUGUGUAUAUAUAUGUGCAUGUGUAUAUAUGUUUGUAUAUAUCUAUGUGUGUGUACAUGUAUAUGUAUGUGUGUGUAUAUAUGUGUAUGUAUGUGUGUGUGUAUAUAUAUAUUUAUAUAUAUGUGUGUAUAUACAUGUGCAUGUGUGUAUGUAUCUGUGCAUGUAUAUGUAUAAAUGUGUGUGUGUGCAUAUGUGUGUGUGUGCGCGCAUAUAAAAGUAUUGUGCACACACUCACCUAACCAUUGCCUGUAUUUUUAAACCAUUCAACAUUACCAUAAACACAACUUGAAGCCUUGUUGCAAGAUUUCAGGGGGGGGGGUGAAAAAAAGGCAAUUCCUGUUUGUUAUAUUUUUCAUUUUAUUUAUUUAUUUAUUUAUUAAUGGAAAUUGAAAAACAACAAAAUAGAAUGAAGUUCAAAAUUUAAAAAAGAAAAUCUAAUGGACUAUUGUUUUUUUUUUACUUUAUUUAAAAAAUUUUUUUUUUGUAGUUAUGCAGCAAUGGAGAAUAACAAUGAUAACAACUAUUACAAUAACUGUAUUAAACUAUACCAAAAAUACAGAAUUGCUAGCAAAGAAAUUUAAUUGAAUGACAAAAUUAACAUUAGUAUGAGGAGAAAUAACAGUCUUGGGUGUAUUAAUAAUAAUAAUAAUAAUAAUAGUAAUAAUAAUAAUAAUAAUAAUAAUAAUAAUAAUAAUAGUAAUAAUGAUAAUAAUAAUAAUGAUAAUAAUAAUAAUCAUAGUAAUAAUAAUAAUAAUAAUAAUAAUAAUGAUAGUUAUAGUCGUAGUAAUAAUAAUGGUGAUAAUGAUUAUAAUGAUGAUGGUAAUAAUAAUGAUGAUGAUGAUGAUGAUAAAAAUAAUAAUAAUAAUAAUAAUAAUAAUAAUAAUAAUAAUAAUAAUAAUAACUUGGAGCCAACUUGUACAAAUAUAAAGAAAAAGUCAAACAUAUAAUAAUAAUAAUAAUAAUAAUAAUAAUGAUGAUGAUAAUGAUAGUAAUAAUAAUGAUGAUGAUUAUAUUGAUGAUGAUAAUAAUAAUAAUAAUAAUAAUAAUAAUAAUAAUAAUAAUAAUAAUAAUAAUAAUAAUAAUCAUGAUAGUAAUAAUAUUGAUGAUGAUUAUGUUGAUGAUGAUAAUUAUAAUAAUCAUGAUAGUAAUAAUAAUGAUGAUGAUGAUUAUGUUGAGAAUGAUGAUGGUAAUAAUAAUAAUGAUAACAAUUUUAAUUAUUAUGAUUACAAUAAUUUCUCUAAGUGCAGCAAAAUGGGAGCAUCACAGCAAUUAAUAUUAAUACUAAAAUUGUGGUUAUUUAGCCCCGGGUCACUUUUAAUAGAGUAGUCCUCUGAUUGAGAAAACAUUCCAGCUGUGAUCAUUCUAUCUGCUUGGAGGUGUGUAGGACUACAUUACAUUAUCUAGCUUGUUCUUUCCUUGUUUAUAAGGUGAGGGAUAUUGGGCUGUUGUUUCUAGCAGGUAGAGCAAACUAGAUGAGGUAUGAGAUUGUAGAGAGAAAGAGAGAUAAUCUAGUUUCCAUUUAGAAGAAUUUACACCAAAGCAUUUUUUUUUUUGGUUUUUUUUUUCUCUCUUUUCUUUCUUUUUACCUUGUAGAUUUAACACUGCUGCUGCAGCAAUGAAAAGCUUCCAUACCUACUGUGCCAGCAUGCCUGGAAAUUGUAAUACCAAUACAGCAGACUGCAUGAUAUAUUGAACAGUCUGUUUUAGACUAUUCACUUUAUUCUUUUUUUCCACUUGGAACAACUCCACCCACACUCUUCACACCGUAAUGAAAGGAAUGUGGGGGAAAUGUGAAAAAAAAAAAUUGUAGCUAAUAUUUUUUUUUCCCCACUUUCAUUAUAAUUUAAUGAAAAUAUACGAUUCUUUCAUGUGAAAAACAAUGCACCAUCAUCUUCAUCAUCAUCAUCAUCAUCAUCCUCAUCAUCAUUACCACCACCACCACCACUACCACCAUCAUCAUCAUUAUUAUUACUACAGCAAGCUGGCGGAAUCAUUAGCAUGCUGAACAAAAUGCUUUAGCAGCAUUUUGUCUGUUUUACAUUCCAAGUUCAAAUUCCACUGUGGCCAACUUAACAUUUCAUCCUUUCUGGAUCAAUAAACUAAGUACCAGUGAAGUGCUGGGGUCGAUGUAAUUGAUUUAACCUUCCCUCAAAAUUUCAGGCCUUGUACCUUUAGUAGAAAGAAUUUCAGAGUUGACAAAAUAAGUACCAAGUGAGCAGUAUUUCCCCUCCCCUCAAAAUUUCAAACCUUGUAGCUGUAGUUGAAAGAAUUAUUAUCCUCUGUUAUAUCCUUUAAUGUGGUAGUAUUUCCCCUUAAUUCAUGUUAACCCCACGUUUUUUUGCUUUUGUAACCUUUUUGUGCUGGAACUUGUCUUUUGCUGUUGUCCUCCAUGUCUUGUGCCCUUGUGGCCAAUAAAAGAAAUCAUUAUUAUUACUAUUCUUUUUAAUUCAGGUUUUGCUGGAACCCUUGGAGUCUUGCAUGCAAAGUAGUCUUGCUACCUGCAGGCUAGAGUACCAUACUAUCUGUUCUUUUAAACUAUCUACUUUCCUGAUGAUUCUGGCUAUGCCAAGGAGGUAGAGCUUUUGUAACAGCUCUUCUGGGCACUCUUUUUCCAUUUCCUAUAUAUUCCUCUUGAUGCCUUCUCAUACUGUCCCCUAAUAUCCAAUAAUAAUUGGCACUAUCUUCACCUUCUUCAUUUCCAUAGUUGGAUUUCUUACCUCCACCUUAGCAAAGGUGGAGGUAUUGUUUUCAGUCAUUUGUGUUUGUUUGCCCAUGGACAAGAUAUCUCAAGAACCGCUGAAUGUGUUGGUGUGUUUAUGUCUCAGUAACUUAGCGGCUUAACAAAAGAGACCAAUAGAAUAAGUACCAGGCGUAAACAGGUAAGUACCAGAGUCAAAUCAUUCAACUAUUAAAUUCUUCAAGCUGAUGCUCCAGCAUGGCCACAAUCAGAUGACUGAAACAAAUAAAAGAUAAAAGAUAUAUUGCUGAUUGAAACUUAAUAACAGUCAAUCGAUGGGCAGCACCAGUUUAAAUUGAUUCUAACCCAGGCAAGAAAGAAAAAUCAAUAUGUAAAAGCUGAUAGAUCAAUAGGAUCAUAAGGUUAUUUAUUUAAUUUUCCCUUUAUUUUUUAUUUUUAUACAGAAAGGUGUGGUCCUUGCUGUCUGAAUUUUAAAGAUGAAGUGAAAUGCAAAGAAAGGGCUGAGUGGUAAGAAGUUUGAUUCCCAACCACAAGCUUCAGGAUUCAGUCACACAGCAUAGAACCUUGAGCAAGUGUCUAUAGCCUCAGGAUGACCAAACCCUUGUGAGUGGAUUAGGUCGAUAGAAAUUGAAAGAAGCCCAUCAUAUAUACAUAUAUCAUCAUCAUAAUUUAACGUCUCCUUUCCACACUGGCAUGGGUUGGAUGGUUUGACAGGAGCUAGCUAAGCAGAUGACAGCACCAGAAUUGUGUCUGUUUUAGCACAGAUUUUACAGCUGGAUGCCCUUCUUAACACCAACCACAUACAUAUAUAUAUAUAUAUAUAUAUAUGACAUCAACAUCAACACCAAUAUCAAAAUCAAAUCAAAUGGAAAUUGUUGUUGUGAGCCGGCAGCAUGUAAAAAGCACCAUCCGAAUGUGGCUGAUGCCAGUGCCACUUUGAUUGGCUUCUGUGCCGGUGGCACAUAAAAGGCUCCAUCCAACUGUGGUCGAUGCCAGCUCCUCUGGCCCCAAUGCCAGUGGCACAUAGAAAGCACCUACUACACUUUCGGAGUGGUUGGUGUUAGGAAGGGCUUCCAGCUGUAAAAACACUGCCAGAUCAGACUGGGGCCUGGUGCAGCCUUCUGGCUUCCCAGAGCCUGGUCAAACUGUUCAACCCAUAACAGCAUGAAAUAUGGAUGUUAAAUGAUGAUGAUGAUGAUGAUGAUGAUGAUGAUGAUGAUGGUUAUGAUGAUGAUAUUAUAAUGAAAAAGUAACAUGAUAAACAUUUUUGUUAAUAUAUUCAAUAUCCUAAGUAGAUUAAUGUCACUACUUUAAUUAAUAAAAACAUAAUUAGUCAUUUUAGCAUCUACCUUCCUUACACCUGAGCCAUUCUAAAUUCAUUAGAGUACAUCAACAGGCUCAUGCUAUACAGAAAAAAAAAUGUGAGUGUGUGUGUGUGUGUGUGUGUGUGUGUGUGUGUGUGUGUGUGUGUGUGUGUGUGAGUGUGUAGGUACGUAAAUGGUAUUUUAAAUACAUUUUAAAAGGAAAGAGAAUUUAUACAUGUGUGCACAUGAGAUGAGAUGAGUGCAUGCUCUGGUGCCAAGGAAAAAGGUAAAUAUGCAAAGAGUAUUACAUACAUGCAUACACACACACACACACACACACACACACAUACGUCUGUGUGUGCAUAUAAAUAUGUGUAAGGUAUGUAAAUUCUUUCUAUCUCAUAGACAAACAGAUUAUCUUUUACCUUAGAAAAGAUUAAAUAAAAAUAAGGGGGAAAAAUAGGUAAGAUUAAAUAAAAAUCAAAUAUAUAUAUAUAUAUAUAUACAAGGUAAAGUUUAGAAUACUUAUAAGAAACUAUGAAAUAAUUGAGAGGUUUUCUUUAAGCUGUCUUGCCUUGAAAUCAACCUGAGAGAGGAAAGGCUGCUAGCCAUGUUUAUUAAAAAAAAAGGGAGAAGAAAGAAAAGAAAAGGGAAUUCAACCACAGCUAAAAGUUGGAUGGAAAAAAAAUGAAAGAAAAGUAUUACUGAAAUAGAAGCCAAGCCAAAACCUACUAGAAAGACAAGUGAGGGAAUUAGGAAGGAAAGAUGAAUGAGAAACAGAAGAUGGGGGGGCGUAGAUGAAGAGAGAAAAUUUGUAUUUGCUCAUGUACAUAUAUAUACAUACGCAUACACACACACACACACUAUAUAUAUAUAUAUAUAUAUAUAUAUAUGUAUGUAUAAACAUAUACACACACAGGCUAUAUGUAUAUACACACACAUUACAUAUAUUUAUAUAUUUAUAUAUAUAUAUAUAUAUAUAUAUAUAUAUAUAAAAUACAUACACCCACAUGCUAUAUGUCUAUACACACACAUUACAUAAGUUCAUAUAUAUAUAUAUAUAUAUAUAUAUAUAUAUAUACACAUACACACACAUACAUAUAUAUAUAUAUAGACAUAUGAGACAAGACAUAAAUAAUGGUAUGUACAAAUUAUAUAUAUAUAUAUGUAUAUAUACACACAUAUAUAUGUAUAUACAAACAGAUAUAUAUAUGUAUAUAUAUAUAUAUAUGUAUAUAUAUAUAUAUAUGUAUAUAUAUAUAUAUAUAUAAACACACAUACAUAUAUACAUAAAUACACACACACACAUUAUGUGUGUGUGUAUAUAUAAUUGAUGUGUAUAAAUAAAAGAAGGGAUAAAGAUUUAGGAAAGGUAAGAAAAAAUAGCUUAAGAAUUGUGAAAGUGGAAGAAUUAUGAAAGAAGAUAAAAAUAUUUUCAAGGUAGGAGGCAAGGAAAAAUGAAAGAUGAAGGUAUUAGCUGAAGAGGAAAAGUUGGAUUAUUUGGGUGGCUGUGUUUAUCUUACGCCUCUUAUUUCCUCUCUUUGUAUUAAGUUUCACAAUAUUUGAAAAUGAAUUAAUUCAUUGUGUAUCUGAAAAAUUGUGUAUGCUUUUCCCCCUAAAUCUGAAGUUUAAUGUGCACAGAUUCUGCUGAAAGUCUUUUAAUACUUUUUGUUCCCCGUUUGCUUUGUCAGCAGCUUGCAUUGUCACAUUUCAUAGGUAUUUCAAUAUACAUACAUACAUACAUACAUACAUACAUACAUACAUACAUACACUUACUCAUACACUUACUCAUACACCAACUAAGUAGCUAACUUUAUUAUUAAAGUCUUAUAUGCACUAACACUCACACAUAUACAUACAUAUUUACAUACAUACAUACUCUUUUAUUCUUUUACUCGUUUCAGUCAUUUGACUGUGGCCAUGUUGGAGCACCACCUUUAGUUGAACAAACUGACCCCAGGACUCAUUCUUUUUAAACCUAGUACUUAUUCUAUUGGUAUCUUUUGCUGAACCACUAAGUUAUGGGGACUUCAGCACACCAGCAUCAGUUGUUGAAGCGAUGGUGGCAGGACAAACACAGACCCACAAACAUAUACAUAUAUAUAUAUAUACAAUGGGCUUCUUUCAGUUUCCAUCUAACAAAUCUACUCACAAGGCUUUAGUGGGCCUGAGGCUAUAUAGUAGAAGACACUUACCCAAGGUGACACACAGUGGGACUGAACCUGGAAGCAUGUGGGUUGUAAGCAAGCUACUUACCAUACUGAAAGAAGCCCGUCGUAUAUAUGUGUGUGUGUGUGUGUGUUUGUGUGUCUGUGUUUCCCCCCCAACAUUGCUUGACAACCGAUGCUGGUGUGUUUACGUCCCUGUAACUUAGCAGUUCGGCAAAAAGAGAACGAUAGAACAAGUACUAGGCUUGCAAAUCAAAUAAGUUCCGGUGUCGAUUUGCUCGACUAAAAGGUGGUGCUCCAGCAUGGCCACAGUCAAAUGACUGAAACAAGAAUAAAAGAAUAAAAGAAUAGAAAGGUUUAAGAAUGCAAUGUGUGUGUUUGUGUGUGUAUAAACAAACACACUAAAGCAUAUGACUGUAAAUUCAUACACACCUUUUCAUUGAAACAUUUAACUGAAAUUAUUCAACAUAAGUGUUCAUGCAUGACUAUGCAUGCAUCUCUCUGCAUUGUAGCAUAGCUUUGCUAGAUUCGCUGUGUCAUCUCACUCCAGUUAUCGCAUGUAUUCCUGGAUUCCUUAGUGAUUCAAAGUUCUCUCUUGAGAGACAUGCACUGCCUUCUCUCCCUCUCUCCUUCCUCUCCUUGUGUGAAUUAUUACAUCUUAUCUGCAUGAACUUCUUAUUAAUAAAAAGAGGAAAUCCUUCAACUUUAUUUGGGAAACUCUUGCAAAUAUUGAUGAUCAAUAACCAUCAAGUAUCAAUUGGUUUAACAAGCUAAUAGGAACUUCCUUUUAUUAAAAAAUAACUAAUUAAUGACUAAAAUUUCAAUACUCAUUACUCAUUUACUCACUUGUUUCAGUCAUUUGACUGUGGCUAUGCUGGAGCACCGCCUUUAGUCGACCAAAUCGACCCCAGGACUUAUUCUUUGUAAGCCUAGUUCUUAUUCUAUCAGUGUCUUUUGUCGAACUGCUAGAUUACGGGGACGUAAACACACCAGCAUCGGUUGUCAAGCAGUCUUUGUGGGGACAAACACAGACACACAAACAUAUACACACAUAUAUAUAUACAUAUAUAUGACGGGCUUCUUUCAGUUUCCGUCUACCAAAUCCACUCACAAGGCUUUGGUCAGCCCGAGGCUAUAGUAGAAGACACUUGCCCAAGGUGGCACACAGUGGGACUGAAUCUGGAACCAUGUGGUUGAUAAGCAAGCUACUUACCACACAGCCACUCCUGUACCUAUACAUAUUAUAUAUGAAAAUAUAGAGUAUUCUGAAAGAGAAAACAAUGACGGGUCUCUGGUGAGGACUUGAAUUGCAAAUCCAUCAAAUAUUGUAUGACAAUGUUCCCAAGUACAUUAAACUGCACCGUCAUAUUUCUCUUUCUCUCUCUCCAGAAUAAGCCUAAAAUGUUUUAUUUGUAUGAACUAACACUACCUCUCUUUUUCAGAUAAUUCAGAGAUACUGAUUACAAUGUUUUAGCUGACAUUUAUUUAUCUACACACACACACUCACAAUCACAAAUAUAAAUUUCAUUUGUUAAUGUUUUGUGUCUCUUUUUCUGUACUAGCAUGGGUUAGAGGAAUAUAUUAUCAAUAUGUUUUUACAGCCAGAUGCCCUUCUUGUCACCCACCCCUGCCUGUUUUUCAAGAAAAGGAUCUCUUAUUGAUAUGUCUUUGAAGGUGAAAACCCAACAAACAAUUUGUUGAUAGAAGAAAUGACAGCAACAUCACCAUUCAAAGCUCACAAGUUUCAGAGAACUGGCAUGUAAAAGCACCCAUUACACCCUCAGAGUUGUUGGUGUUAGGAAGGGUAUCCAGCCGUAGAAACCAUGCUAAAUCAGACUGGAGUCAGGUGCUGCCCCUCAGCUUACCAGCUCAUGUACAACAGGUAUUAAAUGAUGAUGAUGAUGGUGGUGAUGGUAAUGAUGAUGAUGAUGAUGAUGAUGAUAACAAUGUGCAAAUUUAAACAAAUACACAGAUAUUCACACAGACACAGAUACAUCAUUAUAUAUAUAUAUAUAUAUAUAUAUAUAUGUAUAUGUCAUCGUCGUCAUCAUCAUCAUCAUUUAACUUCCAUGUUCAGUUUGACAGGAUUCAAGGACUGCAUUGUGCUCCAUUGUUGAUAUGUAUAUAUAUAUAUAUAUAUAUAUAUAUAUUUCAUGGUCAGGUGUGUGGUGACUAAACCAGCUUCCCCACUUGAGUAGUUUACUACUCUCAUAAGUAGGGUGUCUACACACCUAGCUGGACUAUAAACAAGACCUAGGGAAGGAUGGUAUAUGCUUACUGUGAGCCAAUGGCCAUCCAGCAAUGGCAUACCACCCCAAUGUUUCUGUCACGAAAGCAUUAUGGGAAAUGAAGUAAUGCCAUGGCUUUAUCCAGUAGAACUCGUGCUUAAUCAGGAAGACUUUUGUUGCAGUGUCAUCAACGCUCUGCAAAAGUGCACAAUGCAUGAUGACAAAGAGCAUUAGCAAUCUCAAUAUUAUAAACUGAACCCAUAGUAAAAUUUUUCCUCUGAAUAGGACACAGAAUCCUGUAAAUUGAAUCAGAACUGAUAUCAAAUAAAUGAAGAGUUUCAAUUCAAACUAUUGUACACCUACAUGUGUCAUUUAUGUUUUCAAUCCUGAUGUAUAAAAGUAAAUUAUUUAGAUACUACAUGAUAGCUUUCCUUUGAUAUACUACUCUAAAGUGUUUGAUUUUCCUUGAUUCCUAAAUUAUCAAUUAUCUGGCUAUAUUUUCAUAAAUGUUUGCAUCAUUCCAUAAACAUAAUUUAGACACCAAAUAUUUGUACAAAAAUCCAAUCACCAAAACAUAUUAAAUUAAUAGAUAUGAUACACUCAUAUCUAGACAUGAAUGUUCUUAUAUAUUACAGUUUAUUUUUAUUUUUAUUUAUUUAUUUUUGUUAACCAUGAAAAAUAUUUAUCCUUUCCAAGCCUUAAAUGUAAUUAUUCCUUUUCAUGAGUACGUCAGCAUGAAGUCAAUAUUUCGCUGGUAAUAGUUUUAAGCGCUAACACUUUUCAUUGUGUAUGGAGGUUUAGCAUUGGCCAAUGUGCUCGCUGCAUAAUACAUUGCGCCAUUUAUUCGUUUCCCUUUUACAAGACUGUGUCAUAUUGGUGUUACCAAUUUUAUUCUCAAUAGGUUUGAAAUUAACAUAAGCCAUUCAGCCAGUUUACAAUAUUAUUCACUAUCUUUGAAAAACUAAUUUGAAUCAUUAGGGCCAGUUUCAUGGCAUAUAUAUCCCCUACCUGAAUGGGACACCAGUCUGUCAUAAGAUUAAUCGUUUUUUGCCAGCUGAGUGGACUGGAGCAACAUGAAAUGAAGUCUCUUGCUCAAGGACACAACAUAUUGCCUGGUUCAGGAAUCAAAACCAUUAUCUUAAGAUCAAGAGUCCAACACCCUAACCACUAAGCUACACGGUUCCACUUAUAUUUUUGCAGGCUUAAGCUGAUUUCUAAUUAAUAGUCAACAGUAGGAGUGGCUGUGUGGUAAGUAGCUUGCUUACCAACCACAUGGUUCCAGGUUCAGUCCCACUGCGUGGCACCUUGGGCAAGUGUCUUCUACUAUAGCCUCGGGCCGACCAAAGCCUUGUGUGUGCAUUUGGUAGACGGAAACUGAAAGAAGCCUGUCGUCUAUAUGUAUAUGUGUGUGUGUGUAUGUGUGUGUCUGUGUUUGUCCCUCCCAACAUUGCUUGACAACCAAUGCUGGUGUGUUUACGUCCCCAUAACUUAGCGGUUCAGCAAAAGAGACCAAUAGAAUAAGUACUAGGCUUACAAAGAAUAAGUCCUGGAGUCGAUUUGCUCGACUAAAGACGGUGCUCCAGCAUGGCUACAGUCACAUGACUGAAACAAGUAAAAGAGUAAAGAGUAAAAAGAGGGUUUAGUAAAGUUAGUGAUCAUAUACUUAAAGGUGACACCAGUCUUAAGCUAUAAGUGUGCUUAUGUGUGUUUUCUGUUUGUGACAGUUUAUGAUUGAAAUGAACACAAAAUUAUUAAUUACUUUAAAACAAUAAUUAAUUGGUUGAGUAGAUCAAAAUACUGCAGCAGUACCUUCAUUCUAUCAAAGUGAAAUGGAUAAUAUUAAAUAUUGAAUGAUAGAUAUCAGAAGAGCUUCCGCUUUUAGAAAUCUAAAUAUAUAUAUACACACAUAUAUAUAUCAUCAUCAUCAUCAUCGUUUAAUGUCCGCUUUCCAUGCUAGCCUGGGUUGGAUGAUUUGACUGUGGGCUGGCGAACCAGAUAGCUGCACCAGGCCCCAGUCUUGAUCUGGCAGAGUUUCUACAGCUGGAUGCCCUUCCUAACGCCAACCACUCCAAGAGUGUAGUGGAUGCUUUUACGUGCCACCAGCACGGGGCCAGUCAGGCGGUACUAGCAACAACCUCGCUCGAAUUUUUUUACACAUGCCAACGGCACAGGUGCCAGUAAGGCAAUGCUGGUAACGAUCCCGCUUGAAUGGUGCCUCCUACAUGCCACCGGCACAGAAGCCAGUAAGCCGCUCUAGCAAUGAUCACACUCGGAUGGUGCUCUUAGCACCCUACUAGCACGGGGCACAAGUGCCAGUAAGGCAAAGCUGGCAAUAUAUAUAUAACAGGUACCAUGGAGCACUACCAGUAAGAUCUAUGAGAAUUUGGUUUGUGACUUAGUUUGAUUUCUAGUGAACACUGUAAUACUCUCUUUUACUCUUUUACUUGUUUCAGUCAUUUGACUGCAGCCAUGCUGGAGCACCGCCUUUAGUUGAGCAAGUUGACCCCAGAACUUAUUCUUUGUAAGCCUAGUACUUAUUCUAUCAGUCUCUUUUGCCGAACCACUAAGUUACGGGGAUAUAAACACACCAGCAUCGGUUGUCAAGCGAUGUUGGGGGGGACAAACAUAUGCACACACACAAACAUAUGCACAUACACACAUAUAUAUAUAUACACACAUAUAUACGACGGGCUUCUUUCAGUUUCUGUCUUCCAAAUUGGCUCACAAGUCUUUGGUCGACCCGAGGCUAUAAUAGAAGACACUUGCCCAAGAUGCCACGCAGUGGGACUGAACCCAGAACCAUGUGGUUGGUAAGCAAGCUACUUACCACACAGCCACUCCUGUGCCUAAUGUUUUCCCAUCUUCUAACAUUUGCGAACAAUAUCUAACUGAAAAAUUAUCAAUCUACUAGAUUACAAUAUUUUAGAGCUGGAAAAUCUUUAGCUAAGCUGAUAGCAGACAAGGAUAUUAUUUUCAUGUAAAGCUUAAUUGAUGCAUUUUUAUCAUGAUCAAAUCUUGAUAUGCCCAAUAUAUAAAUGUUCUAAAUAUAUUUCAUGAUAAUAUAUGAAAUUCUGUUGUGUCUGGGGAGAGUCAUUUUCUUUUUGUGCCUUACACUCACCGGUAAAAUUUCCACUUAUUUUAUUUCUUAUUUUUAUUUUUCGAAAAUUUUUGUUGCGUCUUGGAAUCUUUUCAAUAGUCUUGACUACUAUUGAAAAUGUUGCAAGACGCUUCUUUCGGUUCCCAUCUACCAAAUCCACUCACAAAGCUUUGGUUGAUCCAAGGCUAUAACAGAAGACACUUGCCCAAGGUGCCACACAGUGGGACUGAACCCAGAACCAUGUGGUUCUUACCACACAGCCAUUUCUGCACCUACAAAGAAUUUAGUAAAUUAACUUAGUUAUCAUUUAGCAAGUGUUAGGAACAUAAUUUGUGACUAAGGUUUGGUGGAAGAUUUUAAUUCAAAACUUAUGAAAACAAAGACAUUUGUACUCAGAGCCAGAGCUAGUUUCACCUGGGUUGGUAAUGAAAGGGUUAAUGAGAAAUUUAGAUAGCACUUUUGAAUGGUCAGUUAACUGUCAGUGAAUUUUGUGCAGUAGUUAUUAUACUGUUAAUUUUAUCAGAUAAAGGCAUUUUCAUUGACUGGUUCUCAUGUUCAUCUAUUGACCUGUAAGCUGAGUGAGAGUGUGUGCCUAAGCAAAAGUAACCAACGUUAGUCCAUUCACUUGAGUUAGCUUUAACUGAAUAUAACAACCCUUUUCACUUACUAAUGAAGAAGUAAAUAAACAAAACCCUAUACAUCUUGUUACCCUAUCGUCUGUGGUGUUUCUGGUUCCAGCGUUCUUUAUUCCCCUGCAUUAUGACCAAAGCUAAAUAUUCAGGGAUAUUAAUAAACUACAUCAAAUCAUUUUCCAAUAUGUUUUUCAUUCCAAUUGUGGUUGUGGUUAUUAGAUUGGCCAGUUCUGAUUGGAUUAUCUUUCAUAUUAACCGCAUGGCUGUUUCAUUUUUUACAUCUCAAUGAAGGUGGGUGGUGUGAAUCAACAGGAAUUGAAACAAUGGCUGCAUUGUUGGGAAAGGCAUGAUGACACUGAGUCAACUUCCUAAAUAAUAAAAUGCUGCUUGUUGUUUGUGAUAACACCAAGAGUGUUGUGACCAUCAUUGCAAUCAUCAUCACCACCACCACCAUCAAAGAAAUUUUCUAUAUAUAUAUACAUAUACAUAUAUAUACAUAUAUAUAUAUAUAUAUAUAUAUAUAUAUAUAUAUGAUAUACAUAUAUAUAUAUAAUUUAAUAUAUAUAUACUGCAUUUACAUAUAUAUAUAUUAGAUAUAUAUAUAUACAUAAUACAUAUCAUAAUAUAUAUACAAAAUUAUAUAUAUAUAUAUAUAAUAGAUAGAUAGACAGACAGACAGGCAGACAGACAGACAUAUGGUAAUUACUGUAAUGUUCAACUAUCAGAUUGUCAACAAUAGAAAGUUGUAACUAUGAUAAAUCUAAGUAAUUAAACUAAAGCUUUGCUGUUGAUUCAGUCUAGAAUAAAUUUACACAAUUCAAUAUCCACUCAGUAGUUUUAAAAUGCUUGUAUUUAUCACCUGUUGAUUUCAUUAAUGCCAAACUUGUUUAUGUUAUUCAUCUAAGUAUAACAUAACAAGUUUUGCUAUCAUUAGUAAUAUUUUGUUAUAAAACACGAUGGGUUGGGUGCCAUGAUUGAUGAUACAGUAAGUAUUCUGCUAAUUCCACAACAGCUUCAGUUUUAAUUCAAAGCCUUGGAAUACUUGCAAUACAAACAGCAUAGGAAAAAAAAUCAUGAAUAUCGCAAGCUCUUGUUCCACACCCUAGAUUUUUAUGCUCUUCAUGCUAAUAUGAGCAACCACUGUUAAUAAAAAGAAGAGGCGAGUGUUAGAACACUAUAGAAAUAUUAGGAGUUUAGAAAUGUGAAGAGGAGAGCUUCUUUAAAUAUUACACCAAUAGUGUGUUAUUGAAGAAAUUUCAUUUAGAUUUUUACUUAUUGAUCUUCCCAUUCAUGACCAAUAUGAUGUUCCUGGUGGUAAUUAUGAGAAUAAUACCAUACAAAGAUCUCCAUGGAUGAAAGAUUAAAAACAUAGUUAUUUCUCAUAUUAAAUUCAGGAGCUUAUUGGCUGGGGUUCACAUGUAUAGAAUUUACUAUAGAAUUUCCAAAUGGAAGUCAGGAAAGUGUUUGUAUUUUGUUCACUCUAGUGGUUUUAAUUUGGCCUCUUUAUAUUUAAUUUUAUCUAGGUUCUGUUUAAAAGACCCUUUAAUUUUACUAAAGGUAUAACCAAAACAUUAUACUUAUAUCACUUAUAUUAUUUGUGAAUAAGUUUCAUCAGUAGCAAUAUAAAUUUUCUCCCUGAACAGAUGUCUUACCAGUCACAUCGGUACAGUUCCAUCAGUUGUGUUUGAGCAACAGCAGGUGGGAUCCUUACUCAAACAUCAAUCUGAGAUUUUGUAAUUGCACCACUGGGGAAAUGAUCUGGUUUUUCAAUGCAAAUUUUGAAUCAAUUGAUGUUUUCAGUCAGGUUUUUAGCUUUCAAAAAAAAUAUAUGAUAUAUAUAUAUAUAUAUAUAUAGAAAGAAACCAAAAAAAAAAAAGAAACCAAUGUAAAUUAUAAGAUCAUUGUUCUUUAUCAACUGCACUUGUUCACUCAUUUCGGGUUUUUUUUUUUCUUUAAUUUAAUUUCCAUAAUAGCGUUAAUCUAUUUCCAUAGUUUUUAUAUAUAAUCUGAUCACAGCUUGAUGCAAUUUUUUUUUUUUGGUAUACUUGGGAACAUAAAAUGUCCUUCCUGACCCUCUUAGAAGUGCUGAAAGAUAUUUGAAUAACUAUAGCUGCUUAUGUUAUCACAAUUUAGAGAAAGUUGGUCCUUACUGUUGCAUAUGUAAUUUCCUGUUGACUCAAAAGUCACAUUGAACAUAUAUAUAUAUAUAUAAUACAUAUGUAUGUGUUUUACAGGCAUUUAUUUAUUCAUUUUUGCCUCUCAGAGUUAACAGAAGUGAUGUUAUAUAAAACAGGCUAAAUUAUGUUGCAGAAAUAAAAUUAUUUUGUUUAGCAAAUAAUUUAAUAAUAAAAUCAAAUAAAAUUUGAUGACACAAGAAGAUGUAAAACUUCAAAUAUUUUCUUAAAUUUCAUGGAAGUUCAUUAUAACUAAAUAUAGAGUAGUACAAUAUUAUUCAGUAUCGUGUGUGUGUAAGCACAAGUACCAGACUUCAAGAUAAAUACUAAAAUCAAUAUGAUUAACUUCAAGGCUGCAAUUUAAUAAAUGAAACAAAGAAAAGGAUAUAAAUACACACACACACACACACACACACACACACACACACACACACACACACACACACACACACAUACAUAUAUUGGUUUGAUGAAACAAGCAGGAAAAAUAGAACUCAAAAGAUUAGUACAUGUGUGUUGUAUGUUGUGUGUGUGUGUGUGUGUGUGUGUGUGUGUGUGUGUGUGUGUGUGUGUGUAAUGAAGACACUUGCCCAAGUUGCCAUGCAGUAGAACUGAACCUGAAACUACAUGGCUGGGAUGUGAAAUUCUGAACCAUACAAACAUGCCUGUACAAAUGUGUACACACACACACACACACACACACACACAAACAUGCACACACACACAUGCACACACACAUGCACACACACACACACACACACACAUGCACAUACACACACACACACACAAAAUUUGGUAAGUGUAUAUAGCUUUAUUUUGAAGAAUCUUAUUCAAGAGCCAACUUUUAUGUGGCUUACUCUAGCAUGGUUUAGUUGCAUGUAUUAAUGAUUAUUUAUUUAUCCUUAUGCACAAGUUAUCGGCGUGAGAAUGUUUGAAUACUGUCGCUUUGAGAUUUGAAAAUAUGAUACAAAAUUCAAUACUGAACUUGUAAUCUUCUGAUUUUAACUUUGAUAGAUUAUCAAAGUGAAAGACCAAAGGAAGUAAGAUUUUAUUCCAUGUUGCUAUUGUUUUUACUUAUGGCAGUUAAUGCCUUCUAAAUCACGAAGGUCACUAGUAAAAUAAUCAGUCUACAGCAAAUUUCUUUGAGUUAUAUACAGCUAGUAAUAAAAGGGGAAAAUGAAAACAAUAAAUAAGGAAGGAUAAGCAUGGAGAUUGUUCCAAGAAUUUAUAGAUUUUUCUCUGUUUGGUCAAUAGAUUUAUAUAAGAGUACCCAGUUGUGUGAGUAAUCUGACGUUGGGAGGUCAACUUUAAUCACUGGAUGUCGAGAGGUUAUCAGUUGUGAAUAGAAUUUGUUGUAGUAGGGAGCAAGAUGAGAAAAGAAAGGACAGAGAAAGAGAGAGAGAGAGAGAGAUAGAGAGAGAAAGGAAAGAAGGGCAGAGUGAGGGAGGAGAGAAAGACAGAGAGAAAAAGAAAUAAUACAAAUGUUAAAAUACCAUGAUGAUAUCCACUGAAUCUGAACUGACACUGAGAUGAUUGUGUGAAAAUUAGCAGGAGUGAUAAGAAUGGUUCUUCUCCACUCCAGUGAUUAACUUCAGAAAUGAACAAAAAUUGAAGCAAAAAUUUUCUUUUUUUUUUAAUUGGGAAAACAAUAUGAAAACUUAUUAUUUUUGUCAUCUUAUUCCUUGACAUCAUAAUUUUUUUCGAUUGACCAAGGCCUUUGGAAGUUACUGCACGUGAGAAGACCCGGCAGGACAAGUGAGACCAUAACCAGUGGCCUCUACCUGGGAUGUAGCCAGCCCACUUAUGCAUACCUUUCCUUCUUGGGACACAAAACUCUGCUUGCGAAGACCUGUUGAGGCAAGUGAAAUCUAAAUCGCUCAAAAAUCAAUAGAAAUUGUAGUUGUGGUACCAGUGCCAGUGGCACAUAAAAGAACCGUCCGAACGUGGCCGUUGCCAGCGCCGCCCCGACUGGCCUCCAUGCCAGUGGCACAUAAAAAGCACCAACCGAUUGGGGCCAUUACCAGUCUCGCCUGGCAUGUAAAAAGCACGGAGUGGUUGGCGUUAGGAAGGGCAUCCAGUUGUAGAAACACUACCAGAUCAGACUGGGCCUGGUGCAGCCUCCUGGCUUCCCAGACCCUAGUCGAACCAUCCAACCCAUGCUAGCAUGGAAAGCAGACGUUAAACAAUGAUGAUGAUGAUGAUGAUAUCUAUAAUGAUUAAAUAUUGGUUAUUUUUCAUAUUUAGAUUUUAUUUGGCACUACUCCUCAAGAGUUGUCAACCUUCUGGAGGUGUUUUUAAUUUCAUUUCAAAUUUGCUUUUCUUCCAGUCAAGUAAUCAACUCUUAAUACAAGUGUUACCAAUUUUGGUGACAAAAGUGUGAUCUCAACUCUGGACAUACUGAGCCAAAACAUGUUGACCUCGACAGGAUUUGAACUCAGAGCACAAAGAAUCAAAACAAAUACAGCAAAGCCAUGUAUCUGAUGCUCAAACCUGGUACAUGGUACUUACUUUACUUAUGCAAGCACAUCACUCCCUACAAAGUAUAAGCUAUUAACAACUUCUGUUUGCUGUUCCAAGUCUUGUUAAGUUUGAAUUAUCAUUGACUAGCAGUAUAACCCGGCUUUGCCCGGGAUUAAGUUAGAAUUAUUAAGCUAAUCAAGUUCUUUAUUUCAAACCAAACUAAGUAACAUCAACGUCAAAUUUGGGUGAAAUCCAUUGAAAUUGGUUUAUAUAUAUAUACGUGGGCAACACAUUCACAUACACACACGAAUGUACGUACACCUAUUGCAUACAUGUUCGUGUCUGUGUGUGUUGCCCGUAUAUCAACAAAACACUUUUUCCUCGAUGGAAAAAAACAACAAAAGUCUUAACAAAAACUUACUCGUCGCUAGAAUGGGACUUAACUCCUGUUUGCAAACAAUGGUGAUUUCUCCGACUUGAAAAUUGUUAAAAGUUUUGGUUGAAAAUUAAUUUUUACUGCUAUUCACCGGCGCCUCUGGGGAAAAUAAGCUGACGAAAAUACAGCUAGGAUCAUAACGAAUGUCCUCCUAAAAUUGGAGCGACAUGUGUGCUAAUUUGUGGACAUGCAUAAAUUACAUUCACGUACACACACACACACACAUCCUGCCUUUUAUAUAUACAGAUGCUUUUGUAACUUUGCUUUCCUUCUAGGUAGGGGUGUUAGCCUAACAUAAACCCAUUUUUACCUCUGUGGAAAGGUGGUCCAUCUUAGUCCGGCCUCUAUCCUUUCUCUUCUCUGCCAUGGAAGGUCCUUCUAGGAAAUUACACUCCACUGGCAUAGCUCUCAGUGUCAUCGAGAUACACAAGCCACCAGACCAUGGCAAGAACUGGACCACACGGUAGUUGGUACAUGGUACUACAUGACAAAUCAAAUCCAUGUAGUGUUUGUUCAUUUCCUAAUCAUAAAACUAAACAUUUUCUAAAAGAGAUGGCAGCAUUCAUGCUUUCUCCAGAGGAAUUAACACUGUAAAUUAUUUGAAAUGGGGAUUGCAUUUCAGUUAAAACCAGAUUGUUGUGACAGCUUAUCAGGAGCUUGUUUACUCUACAUUACAGCACUUUGGCACCUCAAUAUAAUAAUAGCCAUUAAUAGUAGCUCGGUUUAUGACUGAACAGAUUAUAGGAUCUGUUGCUUUCAUCUUUGUAUUUUGUAUUGUUGUUGCUGUGGUUGUGGUUGUUAUGUAGGUAAUUACUUUCUUUCAAUUUAAUUUUAUCUAUAAUUGUAUGUAUGUGGGAGUGUUUACGUGUGUAUAUGUGUGUGUGCAUGAGUGCAGGUGCUUAUAUGCGUAUGCACCCAUCCACUAUUCCUUUCAACAUCUACUAUUCUCUGUUGUCGUCUCCCCUACUUAGUUCCAUAUCCACUUAACCGUGUCUUUUAAUCAAUAUACUAAAAUGCAGUUAUUUGUGAAUAAUGUCUGCUGAUCACUUUCAUGCAGCAGCUUUGCAGACAUUUAAUGUUAGAUAUACAACUGAACUAAAGAAAUCAUUUCCUUUAUUUGCAACAUAUUUUAUCACCAAUGGAAUUCAAUUUGUUCAGAUUUAUUCAAAUUAACCACAAUCCAAUACAGUAGCAUAUUUCAAAGAUUGCAGAAUAAUGCUACCUAGAUGUUGAGUUAAUUCCAGGUCACUCACAUGUUCAUUAUAAUAAUACUCACACACAUAUAUAAGGUAAAUAUACCUGCAUAUCUAUAUUCAUAUAAUAAAUAUAUAUGGUAUUUAACAACACAUACACACACACAUAUAUAUAUAUUCUUUUAUUCUUUUACUUGUUUUAGUUAAAAUAUUGCCAUGCAAGGAUACCAUUUUGGAGGAUUUAUUCAAACAAAUAGACCCCAGUAUAUUAAGUAGAAAUGGAUACACUAGCUGUGCAACGCUUUAUAUUUUUCUGCAUUCUGUGUAUACUUAUAAAUAGAAUAGUUGAUAUACACGUGUGGGGGAGGAUGUGUGUGUGUGUGUGAUUAGUCAUCUAGGUUAGUAUUGUAUAGAAAUUUGCAUAGAACUAUCUAAGAAAUACAUUUCAACAAGCUUUUUGUACUUUCGUUUUUGGAUUUGGUUUGCAAAUUCUUUAUAUGAGUUCGUGUGUUGAAGCAUAUUCUGUUGUGUCUGGGGAGAGUCAUUUUCUUUUUGUACCUAAUAAUGUAACACACUCACCGGUAAAAUUUCCACUUAUUUUUUAUUUUUAUUUUUCUAAAAUUUUCGUUGCGUCUUGCAACCUUUCCAAUAGUCUUGACUCAUUUUUUAAUUUAGUUUAAAUUUAUCUGGCAUUUUCUAAUACACACUAUAUUGUACAUAAGCAUUUGUUCUUUGAUCAAGCUACUAAGAAUAUACACACAUAUAUGGGCACUGGCAUGGCUAUAUGGUUAAAUCCACACAUAAGUCUUUGAUUAGACUGGGGCUAUAGUUAGAAGACACUUACCCAAGUUGCCACACAGUGGAGCUGAACCCAGAAUCAUGUGGUAGGGAAGCAAACUUCUUACCAUAUAACCACGUCUGCACCUAUAAAAGAGAAUUGGGUAUAAUAUUAUAUAAAAAAAAAUAUUUCCUGUAUUCAACAAAAGAUCUAUUUUCAUUGCCGGCCAAAUCCUGGUGUGGUAGCAUUCAGUAACUAUCGCUUCCUCACACUUGACAAUAAAUUUUGCAUCAUAGUACUGUAAUCCCUCGCCUAUCACUGUUUAUUAUAUAAGCUUAUGUCGAUUCCUCUAUGGUGUUGUUUUGCGAUUAUGAUAAAACAAAUAUAUACAAAUUAUGAAAAUAAUUUUUAAAAUAUACAGUACAGUAUUGUUUCUACUUUGCAGAUUUUCACCUAUCACAGAGGGUUUUGGAACGUAACACCUGUGAUAGUUGAGGGAUUACUGUAAUAUUCUUAUAUAAAAACAUAACUAUUUAUGGAUACAGUUAUUGUUUCCACAACAAUAUGAUACUGGAAUCUUUUUAAUAUUAGAAACAUUGAACAAUAUCAUGAUCAGUAUUCUGAAAAUAUUCUCCUGAAAUGAUAAAUUUUGUAGGUCUUUUAUUAUUAUUAUUAUUAUUAUUAUUAUUAUUAUCAUUAUUAUUAUUAUUAUUAUUAUUAUUUAUUUAUUUAUUUAUUUAUUUUUUUGAACUCAGAGCAUAAAGUUCUGAGUUCAAAUUCUGCCAAGGUUGACUUUGCUUUUCAUCCUGUUGGAGUGGAUAAAAUAGGUACCAGUUAAGCACUGGGGUCGAUAUAAUCGACUAGUCCCUUCCCACAAAAUUUUAGGUCUUGUGCUUUUAGUAGAAGGGAUCAUGAUUAUUGCUAUUAUUAUUAUUAUUAUUAUUAUUAUUGAUUUCAAAUUUUGGCUUAAUUCAAAUUCUACUGAGAUCAAUUUUCCUUUUCAUCGUUCUAGAGUCAAUAAAAUAAGUACCAGUUGCUCACUGGGGUCAAUAUAAUUGACUAACCCCUUCUCCCCAACAAUUUUAGGCUUUGUGCAUAAAUUAUUAUUAAAUUGAGCACUAACUUUCAUUAAAGCAGCUUUGUGUGUGUGUCUGUAGAUCCAACAGGAUUGGAUAUCUAAUUUUUAUAAGGUGGAGGGUUGGAAACUAUUCUGCUUUAGCCAUGUACUAUGCAAAUACAUUUGAAGGAUAUUUCAACAUUAAAUAUAGAAAUACAUUUCUAAACUUAUCUAAGUAAAAAUAUUUUCUCAUUUGGAUAAUGUGAAAUAUCUAAUGUCCUCAAUAGCAAUAAUCAUUAAAUUCCUCUUUCUAGAAAACAAAUAUAGGCCUCAUAAUAAUGCAAUAAGAAUAUAAAUAACCACCAAUAUUGUUAUUUACAAUAAGAUUCUUAUUCAAUUCCACAGAAGACACGUAAGCAACUUCCACUCUUCACAUAGAAACACAUCUAUUCUGAAGAUGGUUAUUUACAGAUUAUUAUAAAGGAAGCAAUUUUUAUUGUGUUUUAGAGGACACUAACACCGACAAAGCAUAGUAUGUUUGGUUGUACUAAAACAUAGCCAAUUGUUUUGAAGUAGGCUACUUCUGCCCAACAAUAAUUACACAUCAGCUCAGGUAUUAACCCUACGCACACGUACAAUGUUAUCUAUAUGUUCAUAUGUUUUAACACAGAUUGUGUUUAUAAUGCAGAACUUAAUAUAUUCCUGCUAGUCAACUUCAAUACAGCAGAGGAGAAAUAAUCAAGUUUUCAUAACAACAAUAAGAAACAGAAGAAGAAUGGUUUCAAAUUUUAGCACAUGGCCAGCAAUUUCAGGAGUAGGUACAAAGUCGAUUACAUUGACUCCAAAAGUAUGAAAAGUAAAGCCAAUCCCAGUGGCAUUUGGAAUCAGAACAUAAAGACAAAAGAAACACCACUAAGAAUUUUUCCUGGUACUGUAACAAGUCUUAUUUCUUUACUGCCCACAAAGGGUUACACACAGAGGGGACAAACAAGGACAGACAAACGGAUUAAGUCAAUUAUAUCGACUCCAGUGCAUAACUGGUACUUAAUUUAUCGACCCCGAAAGGAUGAUAGGCAAAGUUGACCUUGGUAGAAUUUGAACUCAGAACGUAAAGACAGACGAAAUACCUAUUUCUUUACUACCUACAAGGGGCUAAACACUGAGAGAACAAACAAGGACAGACAAAUGGAUUAAGUCGAUUAUAUCGACCCCAGUGCGUAACUGGUACUUAAUUUAUCAACCCCGAAAGGAUGAUAGGCAAAGUUGACCUUGGUGGAAUUUGAACUCAGAACGUAAAGACAGACAAAAUGCCGGUAAGCAUUUCGCCUGGUGUGCUAAUGUUUCUGCCAGCUCGCCGACUGCCAGCUCAACACCUUCAUAUAAUAAUAAUAAUAAUAAUUGACCCAUCAUGCCCAUUUGAUUCCAGGAUUGUAAAGAAAGAGGAAGAAAAACAAAAAAAAAUACAAUUCCUUAAAAUUUGAAAUAGGAAGAAUUCAGAGAAUUUGAAAUAGGAGGAAUCUGGAGAACAGUAAAAGUUGUGCCUAUAAUAACUGGUGCAUUGGAAACAGAAAGCCAAGAUAUAGACAAAUGGCUGAAGGAGAUUGAAAUAGAAUGCCCGGUAGAACUCCCACAGAAGGUUUGUCUCUUAGGGACAGCAAGGAUUAUCAGGAGGGUUCUAAGUACUUGAAAGACUGCUGAAAACUAGGGGAUACCUAAGGUUACAGUAAUAACCCGCUACCCACAUAAAUCCUUCCAGGAAUAAGACUGAACCUGAGCCAAACCAAAAUAAUAAUAAUAAUUCUUUCUACUAUAAGUUUAAGGCCUAGAAUUUUGGGGCUGGGGGCUGGUCAAUUACAUCAACUCCAAUAUUCAACUGGUACUUAUUUUAUUAACUCCAAAGAGGAUGCAAGGCAAAAUCAACCCAAACAGUAUUUGAACUCAGAACGUAAAGACAGAAGAAAUGCCACUAAGCAUUUUGUCCAGUAUUGCUAACAAUUCUUCCUGCUCACUGCCUUCGUAUAAUAAGAACAAUAAUAGCAACAAUAACAACAACAACAACAAAAACAAUAAUGAUAACAAAGAACCACUGAAACAUUUGAAGAAAUAUCUAGAAAAUGUUGAAGACUCAUUGAAAGUAUUUGGUUUGGAGACAUUAAUUACAUUUAAUACAUACACAUAUAUAUAAAUAUACAUAUAUAUAUACAUAUAUAUAUAUAUAUAUAUAUAUAUAUAUAUAUAUAUAUACACACACACACACUCAUACACAUGCACAUAUAUUCAUAUGUUAGUACACACACAAGCCCACACAUAUGAAAUAUACUUUUGGAACAUUAACUAUCUAAUUAUGAGGAAUCAAAAUAGCUAAGUAUAAUUAUUGGUUUGAACUCUUUCAAAGCACUUGAAUUGGUAUUCCCUAAUUGGUGCUAUAGUAUAUCAGUGGGCAAACCAAAGAAUUCUUUCAGCUUCAAUUUGCCUCACUACAGUUAUGUCUAAAGAAAUUGACUACUUUAUAAAUACAGCACAGAUUACACUGCUUCAUUGACAAAUUGUUUGCUAGUUCACUACACUGUUUAGCUGGGCCUUAUUUGCAUACAGUUGUUUACCAAGCCAUACAGUUGCUGAAACUGUUAGAGUUGAUAGAAAAAUUAUCUUUUAAUCACAUGUUUCAGUCUUAAGGAAGGAUACUUUGGAAGAUGUAGUUCCUGGUAUACAAGAGUCUGAUCAUAGCUGGAAUGACUUUGGUCAUGUCUGCUUAACCCCUUCAGAUUCAAAUUAUUCUGUCAAGUGUAAAGCUUAUUUAUUCACAUUAUUUUGGAUUAUCAUCAUCAUCAUCAUCAUCGUUUAACAUCCGUUUUCCAUGCCAGCAUGGCUUGGACGGUUUGACUGGGGUCUGGGAAGCCAGGAGGCUACACCAGGCUCCAGUCUGAUCUGGCAGUGUUUCUACAGCUGGAUGCCCUUCCUAAUGCCAACCACUCCGUGAGUGUAGAGGGUACUUUUUACGUGCCACCGGCACAGGGGCCAGAGGAGGCUGGCAAUGGCCACGAUCAGUUGGUGCUUUUUAUGUACCACCAGCACAGAAGCCAGUCAAGGUGGUGCUCGCAUCAGCCACGUUCGGAUCGUGCUCUUUACGUGCCACCAGCAUGGGUAUCACAGCUACAAUUUCCACUUGAUUUUUAUUUUGAUGUUGAUGUACUUGACUCAAUAGGUUUCCUCAAGCACAUCAGGUUGCCCUACGAGCCAAGGUAAGCACAGCAGGCCGUCCUGCAAUUCAAGGUACUUUGGAUGGGCUGGGGCUGCUGUGUGAAACUGGUGCAGGAAACAGCAAUGAACUCACAUCAUUUGUCAGGUCUCAGCAUAUCUCCAGAGAUCUCAGUCUUUCGUCAUUGCCUCUGUGAGGCCCAACGUUCGAAGGUCAUGCUUGACCACCUCAUCCCAUGUCUUCCUGGGUCUACCUCUACCCUGGAUUCCUUCAGCUGUUUGGGAGUGGCACUUGUUCACACAUCUCUCCUCAUCUAUCCGUAGUACAUGACAAUACCAGCGUAAAUGUCUCUCUUGCACACCACAUCCGAUGCUUCUUAUGUCCAGCAUUUCUCUCAGGGCACUUACACUCUGUUGUGUGUGCACACUGAAUUGGGUAUUAUCUCAUAGCUUUGAGAUUUCAAUGGUGUGAUUGUUUAUUUUUAGAAUGGCAUUGUAGGGUAGGUGUGAGAGGCCAGAUAUGGCCAGUUUAAACAUAAAACCAGUAGAAUGUUCAGGCCAGAUACAACUUGUUUAUAUGCUAAAAGCUAAUCAGGGAUGACCUGUAGCCAAGCAACAACUAUUUACAUACAUGUGCAUGUGUGUCUAUAUCAUCAUGAGGAUUCUCUGACCACAGUAAAAACUAUAUCAGUGAUUCUCUAAAUACAUAUACUUCUACUGAAAAUUGGUGAUUACUGUCUGUGCAUUAGUCUCUUUGUAUUAAAUCAUCUACAAGCUUCAUGAUGAAUGAUCAUACUUAAUAUUGGGUGACAGCCAACACAACAAAAUAAAAGAUAAUUUGAGAGUAUGGACUAGAAAGACUGUCUAAUCUUUAGAUUGAAUGUCUAAACUGUGAAGAUAUAUUAUUCAUAUUUCAAGAUAGCAUUAAUCUUCAGUUAUCUGUUUAAAUAGAGCUAUGGAUGAAGACAUGGGAAGAAUUUUAAGUAAAACAUGAUUAGGAGUAUUAUUGUUUUGAUACAUUCCUAUACAAAUUCAUGAAUAACCAUCUGCUAUUUGAUAGGAUAUACCAUCAUCAUUGCUUUAAUUUUUUUUUUAACUUGUUUCAGUCAUUUGACUGUGGCCAUGCUGGAGCACUGCCUUUAGUCGAGCAAGUCAACCCCAGGACUUAUUCUUCGUAAGCCUAGUACUUAUUCUAUCGGUCUUUUUUGCCAAACCGCUAAGUUACGGGGACGUAAACACACCACCAUCGGUUGUCAAGCGAUGUUAGAGGGACAAACUCACAUGCAUAUAUAUAUAUAUAUAUAUAUAUAUAUAUAUAUAUAUACAACAGAAUUCUUUCAGUUUCCAUCUAUCAAAUCCACUCACAAGGCUUUGGUCGGCCUAAGGCUACAGUAGAAGACACUUGCCCAAGGUGCCAUGCAGUGGGAAUGAACCCGGAACCAUGUGGUCGGUAAACAAGCUACUGACCACACAGCCACUCCCGCACCUAUAAUGUUCACUUUUUCAUGCUCAUAUGGGUUGGAUAGAAUUUGUUGAGCAGGAUUUUUUACAGAUGGAUGCUGUUCCUAUCAACCCUCACCUGUUUGCAAGUAAGGUAACAUUUCUGGUCAUAUAUUCCUAUGACCAGACAUUAUUUCCAUGGAAGAUUGGAAAUGAAGGGGACAUCACUUGCAUGACAGAGGGCACAACAGAGAACCCCCAUUUUACAGCUAUCACAUGAAGUCAAGGAAAGGAGACGGUAACAUGUACAUAUACAUACAUGAUGGCUGCCCCCUCGUUAUCGAGUAUGGCCAUUGCACAAGGCUUAACUGUUAUUGGUGCUGUGAUCGAAUGUGAAUUUUAUUUGCUUUUUAAGGCUACAGUCAGUCAUUCAGUUGAGACUCACAGCACCAUCAACAAUCAUGAACAAUGUUGUUAUCGUGCAAUGCCUGUGCAAGAUUUUUUUUUUAAGUGAGGAAAGGCUGUGCACUGAGUCAAUCCCACUCACUAAGCAACAGCAGCCAUAAUCCGAAAAGAAGAACAAGUCAACAUCAUCGGUAACCACUGAGCCGCAGGUUUCAUGUCGGAGUUAUCCCAGUUACCUGAGUUACCUUCUCCUAGAAGGAUGCCCUAACAAGAGCUAGGAGUCCUUCACUUCCAAUGGUUUAACCGCGCGAUCAGGUAUUCAGUCCGAUUAUUUCCAUGUCCCCACGCAUGAUACAGCCUUAAGCCUUAAGAAAAAAAAUAAUUACACAUUUAUUGGGUGACCAUUGACUCCCAAGAGUUCCUCCGCCCUUUGACAGGUUUUGUUUUUCAUCCCACAGGGUGUCCGAUAAACAUCCUCCUCACCAAGCAAGCUUGGUGGGUUUGCCGGUUUAGUCGCCGACGGCCCGACCAUGCAACAGGUUGUACUGGGUUACAUGUUACCAGUAGCACUCGAAAGUGAUCUGAUACAUACGUACAUACACACACACACACACGCACACACACAUACACACACAUACAUACAUAGUCUUCUUUCUGUUUCCAUCUUCCAUCUACCAAAUCCUCUCAUAUGUCUUUGGUCAGCCUGGAGCUACAGCAGUAGACGCUUGACUAAAAUGUCAUGCUGUGAGAUUGAACCCAGGACCAUGUGGUUGGGAAGUAAACUUUUUUACCACACAACCAGCACCUUUGCCUAGCCUCGUCAGUACCUCAGGUACAUAGUCUCAAAUACUUGGAUCAUAAGGCAGUGAUAUAUAAGUUUAAUUUUGCCUCUCUACAUACAAGAACUCUACAGUAUUCUUGAAAAUCAUUACUGAACAUUCUUCAUUAACUAAAGUUGAGAACUAAAUCAAGGAUAGAAAGCACAUCGUUCCAUCUAAUUGAAAAUAAUUCCUUAAAAAGGAAAAAAAUGUGAGAUCUCAUUUCCUCUUUCCUAAUAUAAAUUUUAUAGUGAUGGAUUAUCCCGUUCAAAAUCUCAUUAAAACUUGGACUUAUUUGAAAUAAUGUUGCAAUUAGUGAAACCUCUGAGGUGUUAACUUCAAAGCAGUUGAGCACCUGACUAAAACUAACUCUGGAAAUUCUUUACGAAGAUUCAUUUGUAUUAUGACCUUUGUCUUCAUAUAGUCACUCUUAGCUCAUCCUUUCUAAAAUAAGUAUAUUUUUAAAAAUUUUAUACGAAAAAAAAUUGAGCUGAAAGAAAUAACUAAAAGAAACCAAAGCCAUGGACUUAGGAAAAUCAAGUACAUCCGUACCGAAUGAUGGACGCAAAAAAUUCUUAAUGAAUUGAAAUUUCACUCUUUGUUGAAAAAAAAAAUAAAUAAAAACUCUGUGGCAUUUAUUAGAUUCACAAUGAAAAAUGUUGAUAAUUUCAAUAGAUUAAGAUUUAAUUUUAAAAAAUUGGGCUUAAGCUGAAGCUUAAGGGGAAAAAAUCUGAUCUUUGAUCGCAGUAGUGACAGUAAUGGACAUGUUAAUUAAAUUUUUUUCCCCCGCUUUUAUGUGUUUCAGUCUGCGGCCAAUUUACUGAAAUUAUCUCCCCCUUUCUUUCUGAUUCACAGAUGAAUGCUACUACAUUUGCGUUGUCUCUCUCCCAUUAUGAGGAAAAUUUCAAAGCCUACAGAGUACGUUCAUAGAUUAAAUUAAGUAAUUUCUCCUUAAUCCUUUUAGCUUUCAGAUUUCUUUGUCAAAUGUAAUGCUUAUUUAUUCACAUUGUUUUGAAGUAAUUAUGCAUUAUCUUGUAGCGUUGAAAUUUCAAUUAUAGGAUUGUUUACUUUUAGAAUGACAUUGUAAGGUAUGUAUGGGAGACUGUCUUUGGCCAGUUUGGAGUGGCUGUGUGGUAAGUCGCUAGCUUACAAACCAUAUGAUUCCGGGUUCGGUCCUACUGCAUAGCACCUUGGGCAAGUGUCUUCUACUAUAGCUUUGGGUCAACCAAAGCCUUGUGAGUGGAUUUAGUAGACAGAAAUUGAAAGAAGCCCGUCGUAUAUAUGUAUAUAUAUAUAUAUAUAUAUGUAUGUGUGUGUGUGUGUGUGUGUGUGUGUGUGUGUGUAUGUUUGUGUGUCUGUGUUUGUACCACCCCAACAUCGCUUGAAAACCAAUGCUGAUGUGUUUACGUACCCCGUAACUUAGCAGUUCGGCAAAAGAGACCAAUAGAAUAAGUGCUAGGCUUACAAAGUCCUGAGGUCUAUUUGCUCGACUAAAGGCGGUGCUCCAGCAUGGCCACAGUAAAAUGACUGAAAUAAGUAAAAGUAAAUAUAUUCUUUUUAAAAAAAAAAGUAUUUUGGCUGGACAUAGCCAGUUUAAAUGCUAAAAGGUUAAUUUAAAUUUAUUUUUAUUAUCAUGUAAAUUACUGCUUGUCAAAAGUUAUUAAUAACCAUUUUUCUAUGUCAAAAACUGUGUUUAUUGAUCAAGCAGAUAAAUGUUGGUUACGCUUCACUGAUAAGGUCUAAUAUCUGUUCCAGUCAUUGUCUUAACUAACAAAGAUCAGAUUUUCCUUUAAGAAUAAGCCGGUGUAUUUGGAUGAUUGAGAAGCUUUCUUCAUAACCAUGUGGUCUCAGAUUCUGUCCCACUGCAUGGCACCUUGGACAAAUGUCUUCUACUGUAGCCCUGGGCCAACCAAAGCCUUGUGAAGGGAUUUGAUAGGUGGAAACUGAAAGCGCCCAUUGUAUGUAUACAUAUAUAUAUAUAUAUAUAUAUAUAUAUAUAUAUGAAAUAAGUAUAAGAAUGUGCAUUGUCUGUUUAAUUGAAAAAUCCUAUCUGUGGCUGAAGAUUGCUCGACAUUUUAAAAUUGAUAUAAUACUUACAGUGUUUAAUAAAAUAAAGUAGCAUGAAACAACUGUACAACUCUACCUUGGAUAUCCUUACUGCUUAUUUUGAUUAUAAUCACCCCAUUUGAUUUAUAUGGAUAAUACCAUACAAAAUUCUGGUGCCUUUAACUGAAGUACCAUAUUCAUCUGAAUCUAAAUUUUGCUAAACUUAUAUAUAUAUAUAGAUGUCUAUGUUUAUGUAUGUGUUUGUAUGUACCUGUGUCUAGACGUCAUGUGAUUGCUGUGAAUGAGCAUCAUCCUCAUCCAAGUGAUAUUGUUUGUCUCCAGUCAUCUGUGAAAAAUGUAUUUAGCAAUGGGGACAAUAUUACCUUGCUUAGAAAUAGAUAAUGGUUGGCAACAGGAAGGGCAUCCACCUGUAGAAAAUCUGCCUCAACAAAUUCUGUCUAACCCAUACAAGCAGGGAAAAGUUGGCCAUUGAAUAAUGUUGAAAAAUAAUAAUGAAUGAGAAUUUAUAAAACAUUAUUAAUUAUUAUCUUAUUGUGAAGGCACAUGGCCUAGUGGUUAGGGUGUUACACUCAGGAUUGCCAGAUCUUGGUUCGAUUCCCAGAUCAGGCAGUGUGUUGUGUUCUUGAGCUAAACACUUCAUUUUACAUUGCUCUCGUGCUGUGUGAGGACCGGCAUACCAAAAACAAACCCGUUUCCUGUGCAUGUCAAAAAAGGUGAGUAAAUGAAGUCGAGGCAAGAUUUGCACUCUGACCUUGUGAAACCCUCACCAGUAAUAACUAACCAAACAGACCCAUGAGUUAGCGGGUCAUCACUUGAGUGGAACAAAGCUGUUAUCUACCAGGAGUAAAGAAUUUCAAACAAAUGGUGGAUGCAGUAAAGCGUUCUUACAGCGCAUGCCCCCAUACUUCUAGUACUUAUUGAAAUUAUCUUCCUUUUUCUUUAUAAGUGAACAAUGAAUGAAUGCCACAAGAUCUGGCCAGUUUGAGCAUAAAGUAGGUAGAAUAUUUGAGCCAGAAAUGGCUGGCUUAAAUUCUAAAGGGCUAAGUAACUACUUAGAGGAUUCCUUGAUAGGUCAUAAGCUAUUGACCUUCUAACAUCAAUGAUGAUCAACAUUCCAGCUAUAAAUAUUCCAUAUUUUAUUUAAACAGUGUACUGAAACUACAUUAUUGACUGUAUCCAGAAUUUUUGAGAGACAAUAGUAUGUGAUUUCGGAGUGAUUUGACUGUUAUUUCUAGCAGUUUGUGGCAACAAUACAGAGGUUCCUUCUUUUAGCUUGAAUGGUAGCUUGAAACCAGAGUUGUAUACUGAGGGUGUGUCACUGAAACACACAUUGACACUAUUUCUAUCUGCUUUAUUUUUGGUUGGGCAAAAUUUCAAGAUUCUCUGUUUUGAGAAGUGUGUUGAACAUUAUUAACAAAAACAGGUAAAUGUAUAUAAGCUGUAUAAUAUAAUCACAUAAAGAAACAGAUAUAAACACAUGUAUAUAAGUGAAACCUUGUAUAAAGUAUUAAGUUAGUGCAGAUGGUAUGAAAAUCAAAAUUAGAUAAUAAUUAUGUUCUGAAGAAAAGACAAUGUUAGGUAGGAAAUUAGUAUUAUUUUUAAUUAUUCUAGUUAAAACAACAGACAACUCUGGAUAUAUUUCAGUCUUAUUAGACCUCCGUGGAAUGUAAAAUCUACUCUCAAUAUCAUCAUCAUCAUCAUCAUCAUUUUAGCAUCCACUUUUCCAUGCUUGUAUGGGUUGGAAUGAAGUUUAUUGAAGCAGAAGCUCUUCCUGUUGCGAAACCGCAACUGUUUCUGAGCAAAGUAAUAUUUUCUCAUGGCCCAGACAUGUUUUUUUAGGAAAAUACUGGAAAGGAAUCCUUGUCAUUUACAACAAUUAUGCAAUGAAAAGACAAAGAGACACAAGCAUACUUCACACUUACAAGUGCACACGCGCGCGCGCACACACACACACACACUCUAUAUUCUUUUAUUCUUUUGCUUGUUUCAGUCAUUUGACUGUGGCCAAGCUGAAGCAAGAUUCUUUUAGUCAAAGAAAUCAACCCCAGGACUUAUUCUUCAUAAACCUAGUACUUAUUCUAUCAGUACCUUUUGCUGAACUGCUAGGUUACAGGGAUGUAAACACAACAUCAGCUGUCAAGUGAUGGGGAGGGAGCAAAAGACACAAAGAUACACACGCACAUACAUAAAUAGACACAUGUAUAUAUAUAUAUAAAUACAUAUAUAUAUAUAUAGAGAGAGAGAGAUGUAUAUAUAUAAACGACAGGCCUCUUUCAGUUUCUGUCUACCAGAUCCACUCACAAGGCUUUGGUCAGCCCGAGGCUAUUGUAGGAGACACUUGCCCAAAGUGCCUCACAGUGGGACUGAACAUGGAACCAUGUGGUUGGGAGCCAUGUUUCUUACCACACAGCCACCCCUGCACCUAUAUACAAUGGGCUUCCAUCUAUAACUCCACUCAAAUGUCAAGGCCCCUUAACAGUAUUAUAGAUCCCUAAACAAAUCAAUACCCUGAGCCCUAUUGUAUUUAUUUAUUGACAGCAAGCCACAGCAUGCUAAAAUCAAAAUUAGGUCCCUAGAGCUGUGUGGUCCCUGAGCAAAUAUUCAGUGUGCCCAUGCAUUGAGAUGGCACUGUAUAAGGCUUUGGUCAGCCCGAGUAUAUAACAGAAGCCAGUUGCCCAAGUUUGCCCAAGGUGUCACAUACUGAUCUAUGAAGUUUGCUGGUGAAAUUUUUUUACCACACAGCCAUGCCUGUACCUCUAACUGUGUCAAAUAUGCCUGGUUUUAAAAGUACUUAGAUGUGAAUAACUAGUUGAGGAAGACAGUUUCAAUAGAGAUAAAUACCUGCAAAGAGUUUUCAUGAAUAGGUUUUUUUUGCAGAUUAUAGCAGUCUUGUAGAAGAUUUUGAAUAUACAGAUUUGUAACAAAAACAAAAGGCCUUAGAAUAGUUAUGGCUUCACUAACUUACAUUUGAGAUUAGUCAAUGAGGAGGAAAGAGAGUUUAUAUCAAAAAUGAUGAAUAUUAUAUCAAAAUAUGAUGAGACAGAUGCAUUAAAUAUUUUACUUUUUAGUAUACACUACUCAUGAACAAGAAAAAAAAUUAUCUGUAUCUUCAAGUUUUGAUGAUUUGUGUUAAAAAGAAAGCUAGGUGCUAUUUUCUUGACAAACAAACAUUUUUAAGCUCUGAUAUAUCUAUAUAAAAAAAAAGCAUAUAUAUAUAUAAAAUGCUGGACUCUGAAGUCACACUAGUGCUUUUCAUAUUAAGCAGCAUACAAACUGUAACUGUGUUAGUGAUAUCAUUAAUGAUUAUAGCAGCAGCAGAAGCUGUCGGGUUUUAAUAUGACUAUGUUUGAAGAUCAAUAAAGAGUUGGAAACACUAAGAGCCUGUUGAUUGUGAUAAAUCUACAUGUAGCUGUAGCAUAUAUAAUUCCUUUCCUAUUAAGUUUGAACUAAUUCCUAGCAUCUCUUCAAUAGAGAACAGCACACAUUGAUAAAAGGUGAAACUAAAUAGGCUUAGUUCUUCCACAAAAUAUUCACAGAAUAUACGUCUAUUAGCUCUUGUGAGUUAAAAUACAUGAUGUGUGGAUAUCUGUGUAUUUUUAUUUUAUGUUUGUUUAUGCACAUAUGUAAUAAUGCAUAGAUGCGAAUAUGCUUAUCAUCCUCUCUGCGUGUCUGCGUGAGUGUGCAGGUGCACAUUUCCAUGCAUAUUUUAAUGAUCAAAUCUGUCCGCAUAUGUAUUUCACUUUGCGUUGGCCAGAGGUAUUCCCUUUCAUACCUACUGUUCACUGACUGAACUUUCCAGGUUUGAAUCAGAAAUUUGAUCAGUCACACAAAACCACCUGUUAGUUAUUAUUUCAUUAUUGUAUACGUGUAAGAAAAAAAAAAGAUGUAUUACAUGAGUGUAGGUAUACAAUUGCAUUAAUAAUAAGCAUAAAUGGAAUCUAACACUUGAAAUUAAAUCCAAGAAACUACAUGCUUCCAGGAUUUUAAUCACAGUAACAAAAAAAAUGUGGGGGAGGCAGAUGAGAAACUACAGAUGCUGAUAUCACAAAUCAGAAAAAAAUAUCUUUUCCAAUUCAGACAAUACAUUAAAAUAUUAAAUACCUUCAUGGUAUUUGUGCUUAAUCUAAGUGAGGGUGUGUGGAUUAGUGGUGAGGGCAAUUGGUUCAUGAUCGGAAGGUCAUGAGUUCCAUUCUCAGCAGCAUGGUGUGUCCUUGAGCAAGACACUUUAUUUCAUGCUGUUCCAGUCCAAUGAACUGGCAAAAAUGAAUAGUACCUGGCCAGCCUUGUCAUAGUAUGAGUCAUGCUGAAUCUCCCUGAGAACUACAUUAAAGAUACAUGUGUCUAUGGAGUGCUGAGGUACGUGUCUAUGGUGGCGAACUGGCAGAAACGUUAGCACGCUGGGUGAAAUGCUUAGCGGUAUUUCGUCUGCCGCUACGUUCUGAGUUCAAAUUCCGCCGAGGUCGACUUUGCCUUUCAUCCUUUCAGGGUCGAUUAAAUAAGUACCAGUUACGUUCUGGGGUCGAUAAAAUCGACUUAAUCCGUUUGUCUGUCCUUGUUUGUCCUCUCUGUGUUUAGCCCCUUGUGGGUAGUAAAGAAAUAGAUACAUGUGUCUAUGGAGUGCUGAGCCACUUGCACAUUAGUUUCACAAGCAGGUUGCUCCAUUGAUCAGAUCAAUUGGAACUCUCAUUGUCAUAACCGACAGAGAGCCAGUUAAUAAAGUAUGUUGGUCAUAACUCAAACUUUAUUUACAUUUUCAGGUGGCAAAAUAGCAGAAUUGUUAAUUGUUAAUAUCAUAAAAAUUUAUGAACUUCAAAAGAACAUGAAGCAAUUCUGUUCUUUUAACACUAGAAUUCAGAGCAGAAAAUCUAUAAUUAACAUCAUGUAAAUAUUGGGUUGAAAAACCCUUUGAUUUGAAAAAGUGUAAGGCUUCCUAGAACACCUGUCCUGUUUACAGGUGAUGUAGUUUUUUGCCCCACAUGCAGAGCCUUUGACUUUUUGUAUUUGAAAGGUUUUCUAAUCCAAUAUUUACAAACUACUAUUUAUAGCUUUAUCUUCUUUGAGAUCUACAGUUUCCUCUCAAAAAGAAAAAUUAUUUCAUGUUCAGUAGAAUGCCUGUGGUAUUUGUUCUGAGUCUCUAUACUCUGAGUGGAAAUCUCACCAAAAUCAGCAUUCUCUUCGUCCUUUCGAGACUUCCAGAGUGGUGGAUUAACAGAAAUGUAAAAAAAGGUUAGGCAAGAUGCUUUACAGUAAUUUUCGAUUUUUGAUUUGGUUUGCAAGAUUCUUUAUAUUAGUUCAUGUGUUGAAGCAUAUUCUGUUGUGUCUGGGGAGAGUCAUUUUCUUUUUGUGCCUUAUAAUGUAAGUCAAGACUGUUGAAAAGGUUGCAAGACGCAACGAAAAUUUUAGGAAAAUAAAAAAUAAGAAAUAAGUGGAAAUUUUACCAUUGAGUGUGUUACAUUAUAAGGCACAAAAAGAAAAUGACUCUCUCCAGACACAACAGAAUUUACAGUAAUUGUUCUAGCUCUUUACAUUCUGAUAACAUCUGCAAUGGUACUAGUGCCAAGCUGUGUCAGCCCCAAGGUGACAACCUUUACCUUGGAUGAUAUUGGCAGCUCAGAUGAGCAACUCCUAGUCUUCCUUAAAAAGGUGUGCACAUGUUUGUGUGUGAUCAACCUUGGCUGUUUAUUUUAAGUUGAGAUAAAAAGGGCCUCUCUCUCAGAGUGAAAAGCAGACUGUAUAAUACCUGUGUGCUACAUGGUAGUGACGCAUGGGCUGUGACUGUUGAGGACAUGCAUAGGCUUGUAAGAAAUGAAGCUAAUAUGUUCUGUUAGAUGUGUAAUAUCUGUGUGCAUGCACAACAGAGUAUAAGCACCCUGAAAGAAAACUUGGACAAAAAAUGCAUGAGAUGUGGUGUGCAAGAGAGAUGACUGUAUUGGUAUGGUCAUGUGAUGUGUAUGGAUGAGGAUAGCUGUGUGAAGAAGUGUCACACUCUAACAGUGGAGGGAACUUGUGGAAGAGGCAGACCCAGUAAGACAUAGGAUGAGAUGGUGAAGCAUGAUCUUCGAAUGUUGGGCCUCACAGAGAUAAUGAUAAGCAACCGAGACCUUUGGAGAUAUGCUGUGCUUGAGAAGACCUGUCAAGCCAAGUGAGAUCGUAGUCAUGGCCAUUGCUAUAAUUGACCCGUUAAACACACCCCUCAAUCGUUGGGCGAUAUGCUGUGCUUGUAAAGACCUGUCGGACUAAGUGAAAUCAUAGGCAUGGCCAAUGCCAGUGCCAUCUUACUGGCACAUAAAAAGCAUUUUUUUCUCUCCUUGUUUUUUCUGUGUACCUUUCUGUAGAAGAGCGUAGGCUCAAAACGUAAAAGACUUUUUCUAUUCCUGAGCGCUAUACUAAUACAUCUGUUUGUUUUGUACACCACAUGUCUUUGUCUUUUGUUUAUUUUCAUAAACUUUCCCUUUAUAUAUAUAUAUAGAUAUGUAUGUAUAUACACACAAACACACACACACAGACAUACCUCAACUUAUGUAGGUAAUUGGUUUCAAGACAUGAAAUUUAACUCAAAAACAAUGUAUCAUGAAAAAACAUUGUCAAAACUUUAAUUAGAUUAUAUCUGUUUUAAUAAAUGGUUUGUAAAUAUUUUCACAUGUAUUUUUUAUUUGAUUUUCUACUUUAAUAUAUUCGCUAAGAUUAACAUAAAUUUGAGUAAAUAAACUAAAUUUGAGAUUUAUUUUUACCCUUAAUUUCUUUAAAAACAAAAAAGAUAAAUUUGAAAAAAGAUAUAAUUCAAGACAAAGAUGAGGUAAGCUUGUAGUUGAUAGACAGGGACCAAGUCUCAAUAAGGUAGCUAAUUAUCAUUUUUGGACAUAUUCUGAAAGGAAAAUCUUUUUAGUAAACAUUCCAGGUUUUUUACUUCCUCUGAGUUGCAAAUUUUGGAGCUGAACGCAUUGACUUACAUUUUAGUUCUUGAUAUAACAUAAAAUUAUUUAAUUUAUUUACUCCAUCACAGAUCCAAAAAUUGAAAAAUAUUCAAGGAAGAGAUUAGCUUCUGUGAUAAAAAUUGGAUGAAAUAUAAUUAGAUUUUUUUUUAAUAAAACAUCAAAGAGAAGAUUUAUAUAAUUAUAGAAAAUUGAGUAAGGGAAAAAAAUAUUGCUUUCUUAUCACUCAAAUUUACCUUCACAAGAAAAUAAUUUUGGAACCAGCUAUUUUUCAAUACACAUCUGAUUAUCAAUUGAUAAGUUUUUCUCUUCUAUUUUUUUUUCUAUACCUUCUUAUAGUAUCCAAUUAAAUAUAUUGUGAAGCAAAGUGUCCCUAAACAAGCUCUAUGAAUAGAAUUAAUGUGUCAGUCUACUUACUAGAGAAAGGAAGUACUAUUAAAAUGUAAGAAUGCAAUCUAAAUAUUUGCACUAAUUUUUUUUUCUAUAUACACACACCCUGUAUUUUUGGCAGACAGAAUCCUUUAAAAUUUUUUCUUAAACUAUCACCACAGUCUAUGAAACAGUUUGAUACAGUUUAAUAUAACUUAAAAUUAAGAAAAACAUUUCUUUCCAAACACUAUUUUUAUAUUGGCAACAUUUUCUUAUUGUACCUGUCUAAACUAUAUCCUGACCUUAUUAAAUAUUAGCUUCUUGCUACGAUUUAAAAAAAUAUAUGAAAGCUGCAUUCCAACAAAGAGAUAAUUUUUUUUUUUUAAGAUGCUAAUACUUUUAAAGGUAUUAUAGAUUUUAUUCUUAAUAACUGCAGUUUCAGAAUGCAGUGCUAUUAUUUCCUUAGAAUAUGGUAAAACUCAUAAGUUGUGCAUUGCUCAUUUAGAAAUGUUGUUUAAAGAUUACUGAAUCUACUAGCAUGCAUCACAAUAUACUUAAAGUUUCUGUUAUUGAAUUGCUCUUCUGCAGUGAAAAGAAGAUAAGGUGCAGGUAUUUUUCAUGUGAAUGCAGUGAUUUUUAAAGAGAUGAAGACAAUACUACAACCUUCUGCCAUUAGCAAUAAAAGAUCAAUAUAUCCAGAGAAAUUUCUUGUUUAUGAGAAUCUGUCUGCCAUCUAUUAAACAAGUCUCUUUUACACUAAGUGACUGAUGCAUUUUUAAAAACAUAAAAUUGCUGCAGAGAAUUUAUAAAAGGGGCAGGUGGGGAAGAUCUUUAAAAAAUAUUAAAUAAGUUGAGGAAAAAGGAAUAAUUGUUCUAAAGAUCUGUGAUUUUUUUUUUCCUUUAUGCUGUAUUUCAAUUUCCAUCUCCAUUGAUUUUAUAGCAGGAAUGGUUAAUGUUUGUAACUAACCAUAAGCAUUUCUAUUGUCUUUGAUUUGGUUCUCUAAGUUAAUUUAGUGUCAAUAAAAGGAACAGAAUUAUUUGACUAGUUUUGCUUGUGUGUUAUAGCUUCAGGUCAGCUCUGAUGAAGCAAUCAAGCAGAUGUAUGGCACAUAGGUAUUGCCAGCUGAUUGAUUUGAUUGAAUAGACAGCUCUAUUUUAAUGCCAUACUUUCACCUGGCUGAGGACCAUACUACACACUAAUAUACUCUUUCUCUCUUUUACUCUUUUACUUGUUUCAGUCAUUUGACUGCGGUCAUGCUGGAGCACCGCCUUUAGUCGAGCAAAUCGACACCAGGACAUAUUCUUUGGAAGCCUAGUACUUAUUCUAUCAGUCUUUUUUGCCAAAUUGCUAAGUUACAGGGACGUAGAUACACCACCAUCAGUUGUCAAGCGAUGUUGGGGGCACAAACACAGACACACAAACACACACACAUACAUAUAUAUAUAUACAUAUACACGAUGGGCUUCUUUCAGUUUUCAUCUACCAAAUCCACUCACAAGGCUUUGGUCGGCCCAAGGCUAUAGCAGAAGACACUUGCCCAAGGUGCCACGCAGUGGGAAUGAACCUCGAACCAUGUGGUUGGUAAGCAAGCUACUUACCACACAUGGUACGGUAUGACAGACAGUCUGGGAAUGUUGUACUCUCUCCACUAUCAGGUACACACCUGCAUGUCUAUUGUUGUUGCAUCCCAGUGUCUGCCCUAAUUGUGCAAAUCUAUUAUCAAAGACAAUCCAGUUAUGAUCCUCCCAUCUGUUUUGUAUAUCAUGGAUUACAUUGUACAAUGUAUCUUUCCAUUAUUUUUAAUAAUGAUAAUGAGGGCAUUUGAAAAAAAUCUAGCUGCUAUUUCUAGCAAGUGAAGUGAUUGCAAAGUGGUUACUUUGCUUCAUCUGAAAGUUUAGGUUCUGGUAGUUGCCAUGCUGGAGCAAUUCUAAACAUAACUGAAAAUGCUAUUAUUAGUCUUGUGCUUCAUAGAACAUUGCUUAGACCUAAUGAGGUUACUCUUUUACAUAUUUUGUAAUUGUCAGCUAGAUUGUGUGUGUGUGAGUGAGAGAAAGAGAGAGAAAGAGAGAGAGAGAGAGAGAGAGAGAGAGUUAUCAGGAUACUGUCAUAGUGUUCUGAAGUUUUAUAGAUGUGUCUGUUUGUUUGGAGAUUAUGGAGAUUGUUUGUACAUAUAGUGGCAGGAACUAUGAGGUUUAUAGCUUUAAUAACAAACUUAUUCCAUUUGCAAGUCCAGGUGGUCUCUUAUCUAUUUAUUUAUUUAUUCAUUUACUUAUUUAUUUGUUUGUUUCAAUUUGCAGUUACUCUGUCAGAGUACAACCUGGUAUUUCAAAAGUACACUAUUUUAUAUUCCUUAAAGUUUAUGAGCACCAACCGAUCAUGGCCAUUUGCUAGCCUCCUCCUCUAAUCCCUGUGCUGGUGGCGCGUAAAAAGCGCCCACUACAUUCACGGAGUGUUUGGUGUUAGGAAGGGCAUCCAGCUGUAGAAACACUGCCAGAUCGGACUGGAACCUGGUGCAGCCUCCUGGAUCCCCAGACCCUGGUCGAACCAUCCAACCCACGCUAGCAUGAAAAACAGACAUUAAACGAUGAUGAUGAUGAUGAUUGAGAGCCCAGGCAUAAUACUUGAUAGAUUAGAUUCUUUGCUUGUACAUCGAUGUUACUGUUUUCUUUCUGGCAUGACAGUGCAUCCUUUUACUUUCUUCAUUGUUUUCUACAUAUUCUGUAAAUGUUGUAGAUGUGUUGUGGUCUAUAAUUCCUAGUAUAUUUUUGUCCUUUGUGCAUUUUGUUGGGUGCAAUGGUUGAAUGCAAUUGAUGUUCUUUGCUGUCACUAUUGUUUGUUCCUUCUUGAGCUACACCUGGCUCAUAAGGGCCGGUUUCCCAGUUUCCUUGGCGUAUAGGUUUCCCACCUGGGCGGGACGCUGGUCCAUCGCAGGUGAGCUGCAAGAUGCAGGAGGAAAGAGUGACAGAAAGUUGUGGUGAAAAAGUCAGCAGAAAUUCGCCAUUACCUUCUGCCGGAGCCGCGUGGAGCUUAGGUGUUUCGCUCAUAAACACACACAUCGCCCGACCUGAGAUUCGAACCCGCAAUCCCUCGACCGCGAGUCCGCUGCUCUAACCACUAGGCCAUGUGCCUCCACAAAAUAAAUGCACCCUUUUUAAGCCUAGCCAGGCUCAUGGGCCCAGUUUCCCAGUUUCUAUGGCGUAUGUGUUCCCCAGCUGGACGGGACGCCAGUCCAUCGCAGCAUUACUCAUUUUUGCCAGCUGAGUGGACUGGAGCAACGUAAAAUGAAGUGUUUUGCUCAAGAACACAAUGCGUCGCCCGGUCCAGGAAUCGAAACCACAAUCUUACGAUCAUAGUGCUGACAUCCUAACCACUAAGCCACACGCCUCCACUCUGCUGUCACUAGUAGGAAAGGAAAUGGAGGAAAUUGUGUAGCUGUGCUUGAUAGCUGGCCAUUAGAUAUGUACUAGAUGUAUGAGAUCUGCUUUCUAGACCCUUUUUUCCCUUGAUUCUAAGGUACAAAGUUCCUGGUUUAAAUGUAUCAAAAUUAAAAUUUCAUGUAGAUAUAUGUUACAAACAUUAGUUUAAUAAUGACAAAAUUAUUUUGCUCUUUCUUCAAUAUUUUUGAAAUUAAUUAAAAUACAAAGAGUGUAUUUGAACAGAAAUAUAGUAACAAAAAGGGUCAAGGGAUGUGGAAAGAUGGUGUGAAUAUAGAUUAAGGUGAGUGGGUGAGAGGACAGAACUUUGUGGUACUCCAUAAAGAAAAAUACAAAAUUUUAAAUUUGUUGUUGUAUACUACAUAGAUUUGGUAACCAGACUAGUUUGUUAGCAAAUGUUUUGUAUGGUUUCUGUAGAAGGUAUUGAAUAUUUUCUGUAUAAAUGGAUAGGAGAGAAUAGAGUUGAAAGCUUUGUUGAUAUCAAUGAAAUAAGCAGAGAGGUGGAAGCCAUCAUGUAUUUUUUAUUUUUACUGUAAGUUAUGUGAAAUGUGUGGUGAUUGGGUAGUGCGGUCAAACUCUAUGAUUUGAUUUGAUGAGAAAUUGAAAAGUGUGUGGGUUGGUGGUGACAACAAUAGUCUUUCUAAAAUGUUUAAGAGUAGGCGCAGGAGUGGCUGUGUGGUAAGUAGCUUGCUUACAAACCACAUGGUUCCGGGUUCAGUCCCACUGUGUGGCACCUUGGGCAAGUAUCUUCUACUAUAGCCUCGGGCCGACCAAAGCCUUGUGAGUGGAUUUGGUAGACGGAAACUGAAAGAAGCCCGUCAUAUAUAUAUAUGUAUGUGUGUGUGUGUGUGUGUGUGUGUGUGUUUGUCCCUCCAGCAUCGCUUGACAACUGAUGCUGGUGUAUUUACAUCCCUGUAACUUAGCGGUUCAGCAAAAGAGACCAAUAGAAUAAGUAUUAGGCUUACAAAGAAUAAGUCCUAGGAUCAAUUUUCUCGACUAAAGGCAGUGCUCCAGCAUGGUCACAGUCAAAUGACUGAAACAAGUAAAGAGUAGGAAUAGGAGAGUAUUGAAUCUCAGUGGUGUUGCUUUGCUUGGAUUUUAGGUUAAAAGAAUAAUUCAUGUUUCUCAAUAUUUCUAGAUUUGGCAUUGCCUGUAUGAGUAGUUGUAGAGAAUGUCUUGGAUAAAUACCAAAGGCAGCAUUGAUAUGAUUGCAGUGUUCCCUCUAAGCUGUGCACUGGAGUGUAUAACAUGCAUUUCACAUCAAAGAAAGCAACAAAAAAAAUGUGGACACAAGGUAUUCAAAAUUAAAUCAAAUUUUUUUUUUUUGAACUUUAAAAAUUUCUGCAAUAGUUAUUUGCACAGAUGUACACAUACUUUGCAAAGAAAGACAAAAUUUGUAUACAAUGCAAAUUUCUGCUCAUCCACACAGUAGAAAAUUGGAGAGAACAUUGUAUAAGCAUACCACUUGACCACUUGGUAUUAUUGAAUAAUCCUUUCUAUUAUAAGCACAAGGUCUGAAAUUUUGAGGAAGGAACUUGCUGGUUAUAUCAACCCCAUUACUUGACUAGUACUUAUUUCAUUGACUCCCAAAAGGAUGAAAGGCAAAGUUGACCUAAACAGAAUUUGAACUCAGAACAAAAGAGAGAAGAAAUGUCACAAAGCGUUUUUGUCUGGCAUACUAACAAUUCAGCCAGCUCAACACCUCAGUAUUGUUUGUUCCUUCUCGAACCAUGCCUGGUUCAUAGGGCCAGUUUCCUAGUUUCCUUGGCAUAUAGGUUCCCCACCUGGACGGGAUGCCGAUCCGUUGCAGGUGAGCUGCAAGAUGCAGGAGGAAAGAGUGAGAGAAAGUUGUGGCAAAAGAGUCAGCAAAAUUUCACCAUUACCUUCUGCCAGAGCCGCAUGGAGCUUUGGUGUUUCACUCAUAAACACACACAUCGCCCAGUCUGAGAUUCAAACUCACGAUCUCUCGACUGCGAGUUCGCUGCUCUAGCCACUAGGCCAUGUGCCUCCACCUCAGUAUUACUGAAUAAUAAUUGUACAAAUAUGUUAUUUCAUGUCAUAGGUUAACCAAGAUGCUCGUACAGUCAACUUCCUUGAUAACAGCAACUUCUGAGAUAUGAAAUACUGUUAUAGUCAAUUCUCUGUUGUUUUGAAAGUAUUAUUAAAGCAUUUAUUACAUUAAACAUUUAUUAUAUUAAACACUGUAAAUAAGGGAUAAAGAUACUUGGAUUCUUGUUAUUUUGAUUACCAGUAUUUUGGGAGUUUAACUGUAGGGUAAUAUGAUUUUAAUGUUCAAUUGAAAAUAAUGAUUUUAAAGUGUUUAUAAUUUAAAGGCAUUUAUCAUCUUAAAAGUGGGUACAGCAAAUAAAAGAUAGAGAGGCAGUAUAAUAAAUACCGCUUUGUUCGCUACUAAAUGCUAUAGUCAGUAAUUGGGUGGGAGGACUUUGCAAAAUAAAAAUAGCAUCUUUAAAAUUGCAGAAGCAGAUGUAAACAAACCAACACAUUGUUAGCAAGUAUGUCUUUACUUCCUUUUACUGCUAUCUUUUACUUGUUUCAGUCACUGAACUGUGGCCAGGCUGGGGCACUAGCUCAAAGAGUUUUAGUCAAACAGAUAAUUUCCAGUGUUUAUCAUUUUAAUAAUAAUUAUAAUAAUAAUAAUAAUAAUAAUAAUCCUUUCUACUAUAGAAACAUGGCCAGCAAUUUCAGGGACGGUUGUAAGUUGAUUACAUUAACCCCAGUGCUCAACUGGUACUUAUUUUAUUGACCCCCGAAAGGAUGACAGUCAAAGUUGAACUCAGCAGACUUCAAGCUCAGAACAAAAAAACAAAAUGCCUUGUCUUUAUGUCUAUAAAGACAAAGUAACAAUGAUAAUAAUAAUAAUCCUUUCUACUAAAGGUACAAAGGCUGAAAAUUGGUGGGAGGGGGUCUAAUCAAUUACAUCAACCCCAAUGUUUCAUUGGUAGUUAGUUUAUCAAUCCCAAAAGGAUGAAAGGCAAAGUCGACCUCGGUGGAGUUUGAACUCAGAACAUAACAACAGUCGAAAUACUGCUAAGCAUUUCAUCCAGCAUGCUAACAAUUUUGCCAGUUCACUACCUCAAUAACAACAAUAAUAAUGAUAAUAAUAAUAAUAAUUUUAUUUCUUUAUUGCCCACAAGGGGCUAAAUGUAGAGGGGACGAACAAGGACAGACAAAGGGAUUAAGUCGAUUACAUCGACCCCAGUGCGUAACUGGUACUUAAUAUAUCGACCCCGAAAGGAUGAAAGGCAAAGUCGACUUCGGUGGAAUUUGAACUCAGAACAUAACGACAGACGAAAUACAGCUAGGUAUUUCGCCAGGCGUGCUAACGUUUCUGCCAGCUCGCCGCCUUAUAUUAAUAAUAAUAAUAAUAAUAAUAAUAAUAAUAAUAAUAAUGAUAAUGAUAAUAAUAAUAAUAAUAAUAAUAAUAAUAUUAAUAAUGGUAGGCGGCUUACACAUAAAAAAAUAUGAAUAUGCAAAAUCAGAACUAUCUUUCAUAGCUACAGGUUAUAUUUAGGUAGGGGUUUAUGUUAAGGGAAGAAUUGUGUGAUUAAAAGAUACCUGUUGUGUUGGUGACUUGUCUGUGAGAUGCAAAAUUUGCUUUUAAAAUAAUCUUGAUGACAUCAUUUUAACAAAUUCAAUAUCUCCAUCCGCACCUUGUGUCUGCCUGACUAUUAAUUUCUACAUGUUGUUAUUGGAAAUAGUUUCGUUUGGAAAUUGAUAACAUUUGCAAAUAUAGCUAUGGAAUAAAUAUUUCCAGUAAAAAAAAUUAUUAUAAAUAAAGAAAAAACAUUGCUUCCACCUGAAUGAUUACAGCAGGUGGGAGACUGUAGGAGGUUUCCUUUCAUAAAAAAACAAAAUCCUCUCAAACAUUUCCUACAAGUUUAAAGCAACCCUUUUUAUUUACUGAAACAUGAAACCUUAACAUUUUGCUGUGAAAUAUGAUCCUUCUUGAGUUCAACAAUAUUGAUAUGAUACAUUUUCUGACUCAUAAUAUCUGUGAACACCUAUUGACUCUUGACACGCUCACUUUCUAUUUUAGUAAAGUCUAGCACACUGCUAUUGAUGACACUUACACUUCAUAGCAACAUACAGUGAUAUGCCAGCAUUCCAUUUAAUUUACUUGCUAGAGUAUCCAAUAUACAACCUGGCUUGAUUAGCAUUUGCUCACCAGACAAGUUUAUUUUGUUCGCGUUGCUUAUUAAUUAUCAAGUAACUUUAAACUGAUUGGUUCAUAAACUGAUGUAGAGAAAAUUAAAGCAAAAAAGUGGUACGCCAAAUAUUUUGAUGUUCUUGAACACUUUUUUUUUUAAUGUCUUCUAAGAAUGAAGGAGUUUGAAAAGAUGUGAGAUGUAGUGUUAUAAAUACCAGACAGCAGGUAAAUUUUUGGCAAAUAAUUGUAUCAAAGCAACUUUGAUUUUUAGUGUUUCAAAAGUAGUGUUGCAACUAUCAUGAGGGCAAAAUUAGAUAGACAAUGGUAAAUUGGUAGAAUCAUAAGAACAUUGAACAAAAUCAUCAUCAUCAUCAUCAUCAUUGUUUAACGUCUGCUUUCCAUGCUAGCAUGGGUUGGACGAUUUGACUGAGGACUGGCAAACCAGAUGGCUGCACCAGGCUCCAAUUUUGAUCUGGCAGAGUUUCUACAGCUGGAUGCCCUUCCUAACACCAACCACUCCAAGAGUGUAGUGGGUGCUUUUACAUGCUGCCAGCACAAGGGCCAAUCAGGCGGUACUGGCAACAGCCAUGCUCAAAUGGUGUUUUUUACAUGCCACCUGCACAGAAGCUAGUCCAGCGGCACUGGCAACGACCUCGGUUGAAUGCUUUUUCACAUGCCACCGGAACAAGUGCCAGUAAGGUGACGCUGGUAACGAUCACUCUCAAAUGGUGCUUUUUAUGUGCCACUGGCACGGGAGCCAGUUAGCUGCUCUGGCAACAAUCACACUCAGAUGGUGCUCUUAGCGCUCCACUAGCAUGGAUGCCAGUCAUUGAAUUUUGAUUUCGAUUUCACUUGCCUCAACAGGUCUUCACAAGCAGAGUUUAGUGUCCAAUGAAGGAAAGGUACACGUAAGUGGGCUAGUUACACACCUGGCAUAGGCCACGAGGUUAUGGUCUCAGCAAUAUUUGUCCCAGUUCUUUACAUUCUGUAUUCAAAUCCUCCUGAGGCUAAAUUUGCUUUUCAAUUCCUCCAAGCUCAGAAAAAUUAAGUUCCAGACAAAUGUGGAGUCAAUUAACUCCCUCAUAUCUGAAUUACAAACCUUGGCAAAAUUAUGUCAUUUAUUUCUUUAUGUGCUCGAACCGAUCAAGCUGAGACACUGCCAGCAGGGAAAAUAACUCCGGUCUCCUGCAUGACAGGUGGGCAUACUCACCACUAUGUUGCCAAGGACCAAUAAAAUAUUUGAAGAUAAAGUUAUAAUCUAGAGAUGUUUUCAGUUAUUGCUUUAUUGUAUACAACCAGAAAUCUUCAAAUUCUACAGGUUUCAAGGCACCAACUUGAAGUAAUAAUAAAAUGUUUGAAAGCAAUUAUCAUCAUAUAUUGAGAAAUAUCAAAUAUUAACUUUUUCUUGAACACGUCUAUAUCUGGAGAUGCCGAUUUAAUUAUUAUCUACAUCACCAGAUUAUGCUGAGGCUAUUUACACAUGUCUGCCAAAUGAAAGAAGUACAUAUAUAUAUAUACUCUUUUACUCUUUUACUUGUUUCAGUCAUUUGACUGUGGCCAUGCUGGAGCACCACCUUUAGUUGAAGAAAUCGACCCCAGGACUUAUUCUUUGUAUGCCUAGUACUUAUUCCAUCGGUCCCUUUUGCCAGACUGCUAAGUUACGGGGACGUAAACACAGAUACACAAACGCACACACAUAUAUAUAUGACAGACUUCUUUCAGUUUCCAUCUACAAAAUCCACUCACAAGGCUUUGGUCAGCUCGAGGCUGUAGUAGAAGACACUUGCCCAAGGUGCCAUGCAGUGGGACUUCACCCAGAACCAUGUGGUUGGUAAGCAAGCUACUUACCACACAGCCACUCCUGCACCUAUAUAUAUAUAUAUAUAAUCAAAACCUCAGCAUUUACUUACAGAUGUUUAUACUAAAUUAUAUUGACAUGAGUGCAGCAAAAGCUCAUAAAACUAAGAAUGAAGAAAAUGAGUAAAAGUCAAUAUCAAAUUGAAAUUGCUGCCCUGGUCUUGUAUAGAUUAUAAACCAUUUAGCAUUUACACUUGCCAUGUCCAACCCAAAUAUUCUACCUGCUUUAUGUUCAAAUUAACCAGAUCCAGACUCUCACACCUACCCUACAAUAACAAUAUCAUCAUCAUCAUCAUUGAAUGUCCGCUUUCCAUGCUCGCAUGGGUUGGACGAUUUGACUGAGGACUGGUGAACCAGAUGGCUGCACCAGGCUCCAAUCUGAUCUGGCAGACUUUCUACAGCUGGAUGCUCUUCCUAACACCAACCACUCCAAGAGUGUAGUAGGUGCUUUUACAUGCCACCUGCACGAGGGCCAGUCAGGUAGUACUGGCAACAGCCAUGCUCAAAUGGUACUUUUUAUGUGCCACCUGCACUGGAGCCAGUCUAGAGGCACUGGCAACGACCUCACUCAAAUGUUUUUUCAUGUGCCACCAGCACAAGUGCCAGUAAGGAAAUGCAGGUAACAAUCACACUCGAAUGGUACUUUUUACAUGCCACCGACACGGAGGCUAUUUUGUUGCUCUGGCAACGAUCACGCUCAUAUGGUACUCAUAGCGCUCCACUAGCACAGAUGCCAGUCAUCGAAUUUGAUUUCGAUUUCGAUUUCUUAAAAUAAACAAUGACAUCAUUGAAAUCUUCUAGCUACAAAAUAAUGUAUGGUUAAUUCAAAAUAAUGCAAAUAAAUAAGCAUUAUAUUUGAUAGAGUAAUCUGAAUGCUAAGGCGUUCAGGAUGACAAAUUUCAGAUAAGCAAAGUUCUGUAAGUGUCUCUUGGUUUACAAUAUGUGAAAGAUGCCAGAAGUUGGAGGAGAUUGAGCCAUAGAUAUAAUUAAUCCACUUGAAACACUGAUGAAGAAUAAUUUAAAGUACCUCAUAAUCACUUCUUAAGGAAACUAUAGUUUCUCUUCAUUUAUAUGCACCUGGUUCUAUUGUAAAAAUCUGCUUUGAAGAGAUGUUGGUAUUUAGAAUUAUGUUCGUUUUAUAAAUAUCUUUACAAUGUGAUGUGUGGUAGUUAAUUAUCAACAUACAUGAACAUAAAGUUUUCUUGAAUCUUAAUCUCAACUUUUGUGUUUCAAUUUGUAUGUUCAUAUAAUCAGCAUGAUCUGUGACUAUAAGCAGUGUUUUAUUCCUCAAUAUAUUUAGGCGCAGGAGUGGCUGUGUGGUAAGUAGCUGGCUUACCAACCACAUGCUUCCGGGUUCAGUCCCACUGCAUGGCAUCUUGGGCAAGUGUCUUCUACUAUAGCCUCGGGCCGACCAAAGCCUUGUCAGUGGAUUUGGUAGACAGAAACUGAAAGAAGCCCGUCGUACAUAUGUAUAUAUAUAUGUAUGUGUGUGUAUAUGUUUGUGUGUCUGUGUUUGUCCCUCCAACAUCGCUUGACAACCGAUGCUGGUGUGUUCACGUCCCCGUAACUAGUGGUUCGGCAAAAGAGACUGAUAGAAUAAGUCCUAGGCUUACAAAGAAUAAGUCCUGGGGUUGAUUUGCUCGACUAAAGGCAGUGCUCCAGCAUGGCCGCAGUCAAAUGACUGAAACAAGUAAAAAAGAAAAAAAGAGAAAAAGAUAUUCAUUGUCAGAGAAUGGAUUUGAAAAUGGAGAUUUAAUUUGUAAAUGAAGGGAAUUAAUGUCAAUACACUGGUAGAAUAUUGUGGAACAUUAAUACUUCUUGCUUAUGAAUAAAUAUUCUCUUUUCAAAUACAGUCUCACACUGGUUCUGAAGCAAUCAAACAUUUUGUGAACAAAAACACUAACAGAUGCGGCUAAAAACAGUAUGGAAAAUUUUUAUUGUCAUAACUGAGCUCUGAAAUUUAAAUUUCUAUUCAAAGCAGUUAUAUUUAAAUCUACUGCGUUACUUAUUUAGUAUUUUACACCAUCCAGUCUACAUCUGUGAGUGUAGUGGAAACUGAUUUUCUGCAAUACAUGUUUGUUUAAUUCUUUAGCAUUUAGAUUACUCUGUCAAAUGUAAUGUAAAGCUCCAACAUCUGGUAACUGACUUAGUAAACACCCACAAGAUUAUCUACCAUCUUCCAACAACAACCUUGGGCACCUUUUUGAAUUCCAUAUGUUUAACACUCAUGCACAUGCUUACAAAAUCAAAUGCUGAAGUAUGGAAUAAACUGCCUGCAUCAGUUAUUAGCUGUCAACACACUACAUCCGUCAAAAAUUUCAUGCUUCCUGAUCAAAAAUCAAUGGAAAUUGCAGUUGUGAUACCAGUGCCGGUGGCAUGUAAAAGAACCAUCCAAACGUGGCCGUUGCCAGUGCCACCUCGACUGACCUCUGUGCCAGUGGCACAUAAAAAGCACCAACUGAUCGUGGCUGUUGCCAGCCUCACCUGGCACCUGUGCCGGUGGCAUGUAAAAAGCACCCUCUACACUCAUGGAGUAGUUGGCGUUAGGAAGGGCAUCCAGCUGUAGAAACACUACCAGAUCAGACUGGGCCUGGUGCAGCCUCUUGGCUUCCCAGACCCCAGUUGAACCAUCCAACCCAUGCUAGCAUGGAAAGUGGACGUUAAACAAUGAUAAUGAUGAUGAUGAUGAGUACACCUGAGGCCCCUUCACCCCCAUCUCUUUUUUAAGACCUUUUCACUGUUCACUUCUUGUGCAUAUUCUAUGAACUGUUUAUAUAGUUUUGGUCACUUUUUCUAAUGAGUUGUAGUGCACCUGAAUACUGUAUACAAUAAGUUCUUUAUCAUAAUGUAUUAUUUUUAUUACCCUGAAUGCGUAAGCAAAAGAAGGGUAUCGUAAUUAAUCAUUUUUAUCUGUUUGUUUGGGUUUUCACAAAACUACUGGAAAACAGCUGAACAAAUUUUCACCACAUUUGGCAGAAAUACUCAUUUAGGUGAGUCAUUCAAAAUGAUGAACAUUUGGUUAGAUUCCCCAAUAAGCAAGUGGUCAUAUUAUUCUGUUCUCUUUCUUUAUCAUAUGAAUCGACCCUCAUCUGCGUGUGUAUAGAUCAUGGUGUACCUAUGCGCAUAGACACAUGUGAUUGUGUGUGUAUGCAUGCAUGUGUGAGUGUAUAGUGAUAGAUUCGAGGGUUUCAUUUAUUUAAGAGUUGAUUUCUUAAUUUCACCAGAAUAUAAAUAUCUACAAUGGUGAUGCUUAAAAAUAAUUAAUUCAGUUCAAUUAAAAAGCAUGGGUAAGCAACACAUUGUAAGCCAUGCUAUAAUUUGCUAUAAUUAUGCCUUUUUUUUUAUUCACAUUGUUUCAAAUUAAUCAUGCAUUAUCUCAUAAUUGCAUAUUUCUAGAAUGACACUGUAGGAUAAGUGUGAGAGGUUGGAUCCAGUUGGUUUGAACAGGUACAAUAUUUGAUCCAGAAAUGGAGAUAGAAAGCUAAAGGAUUUCAAUUAUGAUAGUUUUUAAUGUAAUGUGAUUUUUAGGUCAGGCAGAUUUAAAUAAAGAAUCUGCCUAUGCUAUAGGUUCUUUGAGUCCCAAGCCAUCAUCAAGGGUCUGUUGCCCUAUUUAUUAGUCUGGGGCAUGGCAUUAAACUACAUCCAAUAGUGAAACCCUGAUUCAAGAAUUCUAGGGUUCUGAGGAGUUUCUUGCAAUACAUACCAAUACAUACAUCUGAAGCAAACUUUUUUCAGGGACCCUUAAAAUACUAUUGUGGAUCCCCCAAUUUACUCAUUUGGUGCAUGGGCCCCCAAAAAUCUUAUAUGGACCCUCAGGGGCCAUAUGGACCCCAAGUGAGAACCACUGAGAUAGAAGAUGGACUUGACUCAACUAGAAUAAAAAAAUAGAUUUUACUCAUUGAGAAGAAUUUAAGAGUACAUGUAGAUAUUGUGUUUUUAUUCAGAUAGGUGGGUGUAUAGUUGUGGGGUACUGCUUUCCAAACCAGGAUCUGUAAAUUAUUGUCUUUACAAGUAAAUGCUUCUGCUUUUUCUUAGCAUGACAACACCUUCAGAUACUAGAAUCUCAGAACUAUUUAAAGAAAGAAACCAAACAUUCAAUUGUAAAAUGAAAAGCAAAUUAUUUAUGUUACACUACUUGGCACUAACAUGAAUUUGAUAUAUUCUGUUUAGUUUGAUUUAUUUUCAUUUAUUUAGCCUUUCAAUGGUCUAUUAUAAAAAAGAAAAUCAUUUGUGAUUUACAGAAUUUUUAAUGUUAUUUUAUAUAUUUUGUUGUCAGUAAAUAAAAAAAAAUCUAUAAUAUACCUCUUUAAAUGUAAUUAUACUCAAGAUAUCAUCUUGCAUUCCAGUUAUUUCAUAUUCUGUAAACUUAGAAAGAUGGUAAACAGUCUUUCAAGGAAACUUAAAUAUUCUAUAUUUGUUCUAAUUACAUCAGUCUAUUGAACUUAAAGAUUGUUUACUUAUUCAUUUCAUAUAAUUCCCUUUUUUCCCCCUUCAAUUUAUUUUUUUAUUAUUUAUUUGCCAUUAUUUUAUAAAAUUAUGCCUGGCUAUUGAUUCUCUAGUGUAAUCUAAAAUUUAUUGAUAUUGUCAACCCAUUAAGACUACACUAUAGAAAUUGUGACAUUCUUUUAUUUAAAAAUUUCUUUCUUCUUUUCCCUUAUACAUUAAAGCUAUAAUUUCCAAUUUGAAAGAAUAUAAUUGAAAAUUUUCCCUUCCCUACCAAAAGAAAAAAAAAAAAAAUUCAAUCUCAUUAAUAAUGAUAAAUGUUAGCACAGGAAGGUCUAUCUAUAUAUAAAAAAAUAAAGUACAUAUUUAAACAGAAAACUAUCUGAAUUUAUUAACUCUGUUAAUGGAACUAGUACUCUACAGAGUGGUGAGUGCCAUAGACAAGGGAUUGAGAGAUGAGCAUCCUAUCCUAUGAGUGGCAUCAGUAAUACAUGUUUAGCUCAUUCUUAAACCAUUUCAGUUUAUUUAUGGCUCUGUAGCCAACAGCCAAGGUGAAAAUGGAUUACACUAGGCUAACUUACCCUUUGGUUGUCACAAGAAUUUUUAUACACCAUGUUCGAUAAUAAUGGUGACCUUAUGUGUAUUCAAAGACACAUCCUCAUUAUCAUUGUAACAUCCACUUUUCAAUGCUUGCAAGGGUCAUAUGGAGUUUAUUGAGCCAGAUACCCUUCCUGUUGCCAACCCUUACCUGCUUCCAAACAAGGUAACAUAUCUCCCUGAUCAGACAGAAAUGAAUGAUACUGCUUGUAUGACAUAUGAAACAUUUUCUCCUUCUCACAACACUUUAUCCAUUAAAAAAAUAUUUUUUAAAUUAUUGUUGCUAAUAAAGACCUUACAACUAGUAUUCAUGAAUUCCAGUGUUUAAGUUCAUAUAUGAACGUUAAGUAUAUAUGAAGUGGACGUUAAACAAUGAUGAUGAUGAUGAUGAUAAAUCAUGUAUUGAAUCCUUUUAACCAUUUUAGCACUUAAACUAGUCAUAUCCAGCCCAAACAUUCAGUCUUAUGUUAAAACUAGCCAGAUCUGACCUCUCGCACCUACCCUACAAUGUAUAUCUAAAACUAAGCAUCAUGAAAAUGACUUAACUACAAGAUAAUGCACGAUCAAUUCAAUAUAAUGUGGAUAAAUAAUUAUUACAUUUGAUAGAGUAAUCUGAAUGCUCAUGGGUCAAAUCGUAGUCAUCUUGAAUUUCUUUGAGAACUAGAAGUAAUAUAUAAAAAGUCAUUCACAUUCCUUCUCUAUUUUCUGGCCCACACCCACGUUCUAUCCACACUCUGCCUUUUCUAACACUGCUGCAAUGACCUCUGCUCAUCAGAGCCGAAUAACCUCAUGUCUCUCCUUUUCUCACCUCUCCCCACGUCCAUAUUGUGUCUACACAACAUGGCCCACCCUGGCCCCGAAACACCUACUUUUUCCAAUGCUUCCCUAGAAUGUUAUCUCUCUGGAAUUCUCACCUUGCAAGUUUUUUGGGGUUUUUUUUCUAUAGUUGUCAACUCACAACACUUCAAACAAUGUUAACAGCCUCAUUCAAUCUCACUAAUCUCUGACUGCCCAAGAAGGCCAUAGACACUAACACUUUUUCUGCAAUCAUCAUCAUCAACAUUAUUUAAUGUCAGUUUUCCAUGCCGGCAUGGGUUGGAUGUUUUGAUGGGCUGGCAAGGCCAGGGGCUGCACCAGGUUCCAUUGUCUACUUUGGCUUGGUUUCUACAGCUGGAUGCCUUUCUUAAUGCCAACCACUUUACAGAGUGUACUGGGUGCUUUAUAUGUGGCACCAGCACCUGUGCGUUUUACAUGGUACCAUCACCAGUAUGUUUUAAAAGAAAGGGUUCCCAUUUGAAGCCAUCUAACACAUACAUCACCAAUAUUCAAGCCAUAAUGUGGUCAGUGAAUCUGCUAAAAAUAUCAGCUAAAUCUCCUUCAAAUACAACUUACUAUCUUAAAAAAUGGAAGGACACAUUGGGUAAUGUUGUCUUAAAUAUCCCUAAAAAAAUGAGUUAGCAAUGAUUGGAACACUUUUGAUCAUAGAACUGCUCAGUUAGAGCUGACCUGGGUUUAAAUAAUAUCACUGCCACAAAUGUUCCUGAGAAAGGGAUCACCAUCACACAACUUCACACUGCCCCCUCAACAAAUCUGAAAUAUGCAUGCAAUGGGUGCAGUAAUGGUCAGGAAUGACUAUAUGAUUGCACCUAGAAAGUUCACUUCCAAGGUACAAGUCCAGGUAAGGUUGUUUAUGAAAGACCAGCAGUUGACCAUGCAUACAAGCCUCCCCAAGCCAUUGAUGUUAUCCAAGGGAAAAGUGAAGGACAAUAUAGCUUGGUACCAGUGACAUCACAACUCAUUUCUACAGAUGAGUAAAUUGGAGCAACAUGAAAUAAAGUGUCUUGCUCAAAAAAAUAACACACAGCCCUGUCCAGGAAUUGAACUCUCAACCUCUUGCUCAUAAGCUCAAUGCCCUUACCACUGAGCCAAACAUCACUCAAUAAAUUGCUGCAGGUUAAGGCAGUGGGCUGGCAGAAUCGUUAGCACACUAGACAAAAUGUUUAGUAGCAUUUUGUCUGUCUUUACAUUCUGAAUUCAUCCAUUCAGGGUCAAUAAAAUAAGAACCAGUCAAACACUGAGUAUGACAUGUAAUCGACUUACCUAUCUCCUUUAAAAUUGCUGGCCUUGUGCCAAAAUUUGAAACCAGUACAUGGAUCCUAGUUUAGUACCUGUGUAUUGCACUUCCUUUAAGUGUCUUUGACAUCACUUUUUGAGUGGAGUUUAGUAGAGAGGGGACUAUCCUAUAUAUAUAUAUCACAUAAAAGCACUCAGUCCACUGUGGUGUCAGGAAGGGCAUCCAAUUGAAAAUACCACACCAAAACAGACACAGAAGUCUGGUGCAGGCUUCUGCCUGGCCAGAAGGCAGACAUUAAACAAUGAUGAUGAUGAUGAUGAUGAUGAUGAUCAUGAUGAUCAUGAUGUGUGUGUUUAUGCUUACAGUCAUCGAAAAAAGCUAGUGAUUUUUGUAUUGCUUUAUGUCCAGAAACGUAGCAGUUCAGCAAAUAGAGAUUGAUAAACUAAGGACUAGACUGAAAUAACUACUGGGAUUGAGAUGACUGAAAGCAGUGCCCCAGUAUGGCCACAGUGGAAUAACUGAAACCAGUAAAAAAAAAAAAACAAAUGUAGUUUGGCGCAGGAGUGGCUGUGUGGUAUGUAGCUUGCUUACCAACCACAUGGUUUCGGGUUCAGUCCCACUGCGUGGUAUCUUGGGCAAGUGUCUUUUGCUAUAGCCUCGGGCCGGCCAAUGCCUUGUGAGUGGAUUUGGUAGACGGAAACUGAAAGAAGCCUGUCGUAUAUAUGUAUGUAUAUAUAUAUAUAUAUAUAUAUAUAUAUAUGUAUGUAUGUAUGUAUGUGUAUGUAUAUGUUUGUGUCUCUGUGUUUGUCCCCCUAGUAUUGCUUGACAACCGAUGCUGGUGUGUUUACGUCCCCGUCACUUAGCGGUUUGGCAAAAGAGACCGAUAGAAUAAGUACUGGGCUUACAAAGAAUAAGUUCCGGGGUCGAUUUGCUCAACUAAAGGCUGUGCUCCAGCAUGGCCACAGUCAAAUGACUGAAACAAGUAAAAGAGUAAAAGAGUAAAGAGUAGAAUUAAUUCCUCUUAUGGCUCUUUCAUAUAUUUAGUUGAGAUUAAUUAUACCACAUCUACAUUAAGUGUUCGUGUACAAAUGUUAAAGAUCAUUUCUUUCUUUAUUUCUGUCUGUCUUUUUUGUUUCUCUCUUUAUUUUGUGUUUCAUUAGACGCUUUGAAAUUCCUUUCCUUUAUAGCAGCAUGAACAAGUUGAAAACAUUUUCUAAGGCUUUUUAACUGCAACGUUUUACCAAGAAAUCAACUUCUUUCAAACGAUAGAGGUUACAAAUUGUAUAUCAAAGUUAAUUUCAACUGAAUGUAACAUAUGAACAAAAAUACUUAGAAAUAUUUUCAGAAACGUUCAUUCAUUAGAGAGGCUUAAUUGUGAAUUUCAAAUACUAGUUUUCUUUUGAGCACAUCUAUUCAAUCCUAAACUCAAAAUGUUCAACAGUAAUAGGCUGUUGUUGUAGUUGUCAUUUUUGUUGUUGUUGGUGAUGUUGUUGUUGCUGUCAGUGUUGUUGUUGUCAGAUGGUUUGUUUGUCUGGGGAAGGGGGUGGAUAUUUUUUAUGUAAUUUUUUUUUUUUUUUUUUUUUACAUUUUUUACCUCUUACAUAUACUUGAAGCAAGGUAUUUAACUUAACAUGCAAUAUUCUGAAUAGAUUUAUUUACAGCAAUAUGUUAAAAUACUUUAGUUAAUUUUCAAUUUAAAACCAUUUACCAAAUUUAUUUCAGGAGCUGAUCAAUAAAAUAGUCAAUUACUUUACAGAUGAGGUAAAAUAAACUUCAGCAUACGCUGCCCCCUCCUCCACUUUCUUAUCAUCACCACUAUUAUUAUUAUCAUUAUCAUCAUUCUAUUCCCUUCUGUUUGUUUUGCUAUGCUUUGCGGUAGCAUUCCACCUCAGCCCACCCACCAGUAUUAAUUGACAGUAUGUGUUUUGUUUUAUUAGUCUAAGGCAGAGCAGCAUAAAUAGUCUUUUCAAGCCUCACUUGACUGAAAGAUUGAGUAAAUGUGUAUGAUUAAUAUGGUUUAUGUUCAAUUUGAACUCUUGUAUAAUAUGUUGAAUGCAGGCUAACGUGUUUAAUGAAGCCAAAACAGAAUUUUUAAUUAAUUGAAAAUAAAUAUCAACAUUGUCAUCAUUAUGAUCGUUUUAAUAUCCACUCUUCCAUGCUUGUGUGGGUCGUUGUAAAGAAAAAAACAUUUGUGUUAAUGAGGUUUCUUGUCAGAAAGAGCAAGGGAGAGAACUCAAAUUCAAAUUAAAUGGCAGUUUAAAAGUAAGACUUAAGAAAGGAGAUACAUGUGUAAUCAAUGUUUUGCUGAUAAAUGUUCUCAAUGAAAAUGCCUAAAUCUAAUUACAAUAUUCAGUGUGAGUAGUUACUUGUAUAAGCAGAUUAAUGGCACUUGUGCAUGUGCUAGUAGGGUGCCAGGAGCACCAUCCGAGCGUGAUCGUUGCCAGAGCAGCCAACUGGCUUCCGUACCCGUGGCACAUAAAAGAGCACCAUUCGAGCGUGAUCGUUACCAACGUUGCUCCACUGGCACCUGUGCCGGUGGCACGUGUAAAAAUUCGAGCGAGGUCAUUGCCAGUAUCGCCUGACUGGACCCCGUGCCGGUGGCAUGCAAAAAGCACCCACUACACUUUCGGAGUGGUUGGCGUUAGGAAGGGCAUCCAGCUGUAGAAACUCUACCAGAUCAAGAUUGGAGCCUGGUGCAGCCAUCUGGUUCACCAGUCCUCAGUCAAAAUCGUCCAACCCAUGCUAGCAUGGAAAGCGGACUUUAAACGACGAUGAUGAUGAUGGAUAUUCAUAUAGCUCAACUUAAAUUCCACUUAUAUAAAAUUGUUCCAUUAACCUUUUGCCUGUCCAAAACAUUUCCAUAAGUUUGUCCAAAAUGUCCAUACUUGUUUCCAAACUUUUAGUUAACCUGUGUUUCAUACAUUCUGAGUAAUAUAAAGCUUUCUUUUCAUAUGUCUCAAUUUUCACUAUGGUGGUUGAAAGAAAAAAAAAUUGGGAAAGUGUAUCAUAUAUAAUGCAUUAAUGCCAAAGAAAUAUGUUCUGAUCAACUUAUAUGAUUCACAGGACAGGAAAAAGGUCAACACAUACAGGCUCUUAGUUUCUGUGCAUCAAAAGUAAGAAACAAGUGGGGUGAAGAUUUGGUAAAAGAAAAUAUAAUCUUCACAGCAAAAUCACAAAGACUACAGGAAUUCACUUAUGUCAUGUAGCAUUUCAUUUUAAGAAAACACACACAUACACAUUCUCUCUCUCUCUCUCUCUCUCGAUAUAUAUAUUUAUUUAUUUAUUUAUAUAAAUAAGGAUAAGAUCGUUAAUUUAAAUAUUGAUCUUAUCAAGUGGCCAGCAUGGGAAUAAAAACCUUCAAAGAUAAUUAUUAUUAAAAUCAUAAUUUAGGGUAUCUAAGAGAUACCUCCACUCUGGAAAUAGCAGCCAAAACUUGACUAAAACCACAUUAAAUGUUCAUACAGCACCUGGUUCUGUAUGAACAUUUAAUGUUGUUUUAGAGUCAAGUUUUGACUGCUAUUUCCAGUUUGGAAUUAUCUCUUAGAUACCCUAAAUUAUAAUUUAAAUAUUAUAUAUAUAUAUAUAUAUAUAUAUAUAUAUAUAUAUAUGUAUAUGUGUGUGUGUGUGUGCGUGUAUGUCUUUUUAUUUCUAUCUCUCAGAAAUUCAGCUUUAAAACAUUGAUCAUUAUUUUCAUAUGGUCUGGUACUUAUAAAAUGGUGUCUUCUUAAGACUAAUAUUUUAAAUUUUCUAUCAUCAAGUGUUAUACGGCCCAGUGAUUGCCUUUAUUAAAAGACAUUUACUCCAAUCAUUCAAGAGAAGAGUUUAGCUAUACAAAGCAUGUACUCAUCAAACAAACAUAUUGAGUUUAAGGCAGCUAUAAAAAAAUCAAUAGGAACCAGUAAAAUAUAUCAAUUACUAAAUGUUUGUGAACGUAUUUCUCCACCUCAGACUUCAAGCAGGUGAAUAAGAACAUUUGAAAUGAAACAUUUAUACAAUUUGGGGUCGGGUGGGGGAUUUGUAAUGUAAGUUUUCACAAAAAAUGGCAAAAAGUCUAUCCAUUUUCAAGCUCUGUCUUGCACUGUUCAAAAAUUGUUUUGACUUAGAAGUGCUAAAUUGCCCCGAGGUUACAGAGAAUUUGAUUCUCUUGGAAUAAAUGUAAAUGGUUUGGUCAUGCAAAUCUUUUACUGCAAGUUAUUGUCAUUUAACUCCUGUACAGUCCAGAUUAAAUAGGCCUUUAAUUACAGGUAUUCCUAAAAUGGCUAUUCCAUCAUUUUAGGAGUAUGUAGAAUGUUUCUUUUUGUUUUCUUAUAUAAGAUAGUAGAGUUACUAAGGCGGUUAGCUGGAAGAAAUGUUAGCACGCUGGGCGAAAUGCUUAGAGGUAUUUUGUCUGCCGCUACGUUCUGAGUUCAAAUUCCGCCAAGAUCGACUUUGCCUUUCAUCCUUUUGGAGUUGAUCGAACAAGUACCAGUUACGCACUGGGGUCAAUAUAAUCGACUUAAUCCGCUUGUCUAUGCUUAAUUCGCUUGUCACACACUCGGUGUGUAGCUCCUUGUGGGCAGUAAAGAAAUAAGAUAGUAGAGUGACAUGAGGGAAAUUUGGUUGCUAUUUCUAGCAUAGAGACUCUCCAAGUAAAAUAAUAAAGUUGAUGCUUAGUGGUGUACUUUCUUCAGCUUUAAGUAUUUUGGCUGCACUUUAACAUUGUCUCAUAUGCUCAUUAUCAUUAUGUUGACUAAUCAACCUAUUCAAGCAUUAGUCAUUAAACCAUUCAGAAGCAAUGUUACAAUGGUGUUAGUCAAGUUUAGUACCCAAAUUAUGGAAAUAAGCAAAAUUAACAUUAGAUAUAUAGCUAUACACAGUCCCUGCUCUGUUGUGUACUUAGAGUUUCAUGUCUCAAUAUUCUUCAUUGACAUAUAAGUUUAAUGGUCCAAAAGCCUGGAGAUUGCCUGGAGAUUGCCUGGACAUAUAAGUUUAAUGGAGAUUGCCUGGACAUAUAAGUUUAAUGGUCCAAAAGCCUGGAGAUUGCCUGGAGAUUCCAUCAGUUACACUUUUCGCUAAUUUGAAACAUAAAAGCUUUUGCUUCACUUAAUUAAAGGUAGUCUGUAGAUAAAUUCUUAAGACAGGAAAAGUAAACUACUUAAAGAAAACAUCAUAGACCCAAGAAACUCACCAUUGAGGGUUCAGGCCACAGUCACUAAACUGAAGAUCAAAAACUAUGCCAUGUCGAUUUCACCACCAUCAACGCUUAUACACUACUUUAUACUUUUUUCCAGCACUUGUACUUAAUAACAAGUUAAUAUUAUAUCUUGACAUAAGGUGGCAAGCUCGCAGAACCAUUAGCACACCAGGCAAAAUGCUUAGUGGUAUUUCGUCCAUCGAGCUGGCAGAAAUGCUUUGCGGUAUUUCGUCUGCUGUUACGUUCUGAGUUCAAAUUCCGCCGAGGUCGACUUUGCCUUUCAUACUUUCAGGGUCGAUAAAUUAAGUACCAGUUAUGCACUGGGGUUAAUAUAAUCGACUUAAUCCAUUUGUCUGUCCUUGUUUGUCCGCUCUGUGUUUAGCCCCUUGUGGGUAGUAAAGAAAUAGGUAUUUCGUCCAUCUUAACAUUCUGGGUUUAAAUUCCACUAUGGUCAUCUUUGUCUUUCAUCCUUUUGGGGUUGAUAAAAUAACUACCAGGUGAACUCUGGCAUUGAUGUAAUCAACUUACCUAUGCCAAAGCAGACAUUGGAGCAUGAUGCAGUCCUUGAACGCAUUGGAUCCUAUCAAACCAUUCAACCCAUGCCAGAAUGAAAUACUGACAUUAAAAGGCGGUGAGCUGUCAGAAACGUUGGCACGCCGGGCGAAAUGCUUAGCAGUAUUUCAUCUGCCGUUAUGUUCUGAGUUCAAAUUCCACCGAGGUCGACUUUGCCUUUCAUCCUUUCAAUAAAUUAAGUACCAGUUACGCACUGGGGUCGAUGUAAUCGACUUAAUACCUUUAUCUGUCCUUGUUUGUCCUCUCUGUGUUUAGUCCCUUGUGGGCAAUAAAGAAAUAGAAAUACUGACAUUAAAUGAUAAUGAAUAAUCUUAAAUCUUUGUAUUCUUAUUUAGAUAUGAAUGUAGUAAGUCUAUUGGCAAUGAUAGAAUAACCCUAAACAUAUUUUUGUCGUGUGUCAAAGCUCUCAACAUAAUACUUUCUAGGGAAAAAAAUACAUUAUUGCUAAAACAAAUAUCAAUUUCCUUAAUUAUUGUAUUAAGGGCCACAAAAUAACACCUGGCCCUGCUCGGCAGUUUCUACUUAAACAUCUUUAAUCUUUUAGCAUUCUGAUAACUUUGUCUAUUAUAAUGCUUAUUGAUUCACAUUGUUUUGAAUUAAUCAUGCAUUAUCUCAUAGCUUCAAGAUUUUGAUGAUGAUGAUUAUAUACUUUUAGAAUAAUACUGUAGGUUAAAUGUUCAAAGCCGGAUUUGGUCACUUCGAAAUUAAAACAGGCAGCAUAUCUGAGCCCAAUAUGGCUAAUUUAAAUGCUAAAAGGUUAGAUACCUAAUUCUAAACAACAACUUGAAAAGAUCAUGCAUUUGCAAGCAAAUGGCACAUUUUUCAGAUAAAGACCCUUAAUAAUGCAUCAAAAAGGUGUUACUGUUUUCAAAAAAGAUUUAAAUCAUUAUAGAAAAUUCUUGUCCCUACCCUAUUGACAACUCUAUUCCAUUUGCAGUGGAGACCAACUUGUUGGAUACUAUUCUAUCUGCAACAUAUACAUGGAUGGUAUUCUGUUGCUGUCUCUCAAACCCUUUCCAAAAGUAGACUGUUGUAUCCUUCUAUUAAGAAAAGCAGCUGCCACAGUUGUUAGAUGUUUAGGCAAAUGACAAUGCUACCUCAUAAUGAGAUACUUUACCCCCAUUACAGGACAACAAAGCAUCCAAUUUAUGCUGGUUAAAUCUCGUAAAUGCAAAGAAAGAAUGACAAAAUAUUAUGCUGGAGGGUUCAAAUUCCAUUAUGCAAUUUUAGCAUUUUCUAUAGAUGUGGAAAAGAGAAUGUGUGCACUGAUUUCUUGUCCUGAAUUUGUUCUGUUCAAUCAGAUUAUAGAUUUCUUCAAUAGUUCAUUAUGAUUUGUGUCACCCAGUUGUGACAUUGCAUAAAAGAAAAAGAUUUUCCAUCUACUAAAAAUAUUUGCAAAAUAUGUUAUGUUGUGAGCGCCAAAUAUGCACUGACCUAAAACUUAAAUUUUAAAGUCCUUAUGGAACAACACCUAAUAAAAGCUAUUCAGAUGAAGGAGGAAUAUAUAUUGCAUUCAGUUAGUGGUGGUGGUGGUGGUGGUGGUGGUGGUGGUGGAGGGGUAAUAUUCAAAUAUUUAUCUUUUAGUAAUGGUUCAUGAAUAUUCACAUUACAGUUUUCUUACUACUUGUUCUGAUUACAUCUCUUAAACUGUUUUUCAGGGUCUCAAAAAGCAUUUUCUCUGGUUGGAACUUUCAACACUAACAACAGUGAUAGAAAAUCUCAUGACUAUGGAAGCAAAUAAGAACUACAUAGAGUAUCGAUGUGCUGACACUAUGAGGGAUCAUAAUAGAGGGUGUGACCAAGUUGGGUAAAUUCAAGAAAGCUCAACUGUAUAUGAGAUACUGUUUCACCUUGUGAUUUCUCAGUGUCUGACAUUUACAAGCGAAAGAGUUAAUCUUAUGGAAACAGACUUAUCAAUUGCUGACUCAAUUCUAGAUCCUAAUAACAUUUCCAGCUCUCAUUCUUUAUGCCACAGCACUACCAUUAUUUCUCAAGAGGGAGUGAAUAACAGUAAUACGGAGAUUAUUUCAAAGAGAGCUAUAAAAGCACUUGAAAGAACUACUUUAUGACUUUAUUACUGUGUUAAAUUAUAUAAACAUAAAAUCUAAUUCCACAUUAGAGUUAUGCUUAUU
rnacentral:lncRNA from 1 species